rnacentral:lncRNA from 1 species
GCUUGUGAGGGCAGCGGUUCAAGCCCCCACAAAAGCAUUUGUGGGGGCUAACGUGCUUAUUUGUUUAAUAUUUCAAAAAUUUCCUCUCCCUCGUGCAAUACGAGUGGAGUAUGGACAUCCCUCUUCUGUAAGAGAUUAUUUGUCUGGGCAUGUACUUCACAGAAUUCAAUGUAAUAAUAUAAGUCCCAAUCAUGUAUUUCUGAUUGUAAAUAUCAGUGUAAUAUAUCUGCUAUAAUAGCAGUUGUAAAUAUCUGUGUAAUGCAGUAAUAUGAUGAUUAAUCAGUAUUCAAAAAAAAAAAAAAAAGAAUUUCCAUUCUAUAGAACGAAUAUAUAGUAUAUUAGAAUAGAAGGACACUUUUACUUGGUGCUACUCCACGUAGUUUUUAAAAUUCAUACUUUAAUUAAUGUCAGUAAGUAAUAUAGGAUUUUUACAUGCAAUAUUUUUAUUAGUUUAGGAAUAAAACUUGGUCACAAUAGGAAUGGACAAGUCUUGUGUCAAUAUUUUACUCUUUUUUAUUUUACUUUAAAAAGAUUUUCCAAUGCAUAUUAAUAUCUUCAAAAAGUAGAUAUUUAUUUUGAUUUUAUUUUCUUUUCAGUUAAGAAGCAAUAAUAUUUAUAUAUCUAAUUUCCCUGUUUUUUGUAAUUUUAUUUUUAUUUCAUAUUAUUGUUUAUAAUUCAAAUACUAUUACCUUAGAUAUUUUUCCCCGCCACAGAUAACACAGCGAUGGCAAAGUACAGUCUUUAGAAAUUUGUCAGCGUCUAAUUGCUGCUGAGCUUCCAAAACCCAAAACCUCAAAUUUCUAGCCUCAAAACAGUAGCAAUCGAUGCCUGCUUUUCAUUCAAUUUAGUUAUGCGCUGAAAAUCUUUAGCCAAUUAAUGAUAUGGCUCUAGUCCCUAGUCGCCAGUUCUGCCCAGCAACAGCCAUUUUCGAUUCGUUUCAAUCAUCUUUUCAAAGUUCCAAAGUACUCGUUUUCAUUUCUUCAGGGGCGGUCACUCAAUUCCUCUUAAAAAUAAUUUCUUUUAUCAAAAUUUCUAUUCAAAUUCUGCCCAUGAACAAAAAACCGUCCAAGAAAAAUUUGUUCUAUAUCCACGAAUAAAUUUUUUUCUCAACAUGGAAAAGAUGAUAAUGCUAAUUCAUGUUCUAGUAGCAGUUGGUUAGUUGAAUGGAACAAACCCAAUAAAUAUAACCGCCUGAAACCGCCUCAGGCAAGCGUGAAUUAUAGAAAAAAUAAUGCGGAUUUGUCAGGUCUAGGUUUUGCUAGGGUUGAUAGUGAUGGUAAUGGUGUUGGUGGUGUUGAUGAUGGUGGUAGUACAAUGGGGAAGAUUGUGGAGAAACUGAAGAAAUUUGGUUACGUUGGUGAUGGUGAUGGUGAUGAUGAUGAUGAGAGGAGAGGCUAGGAAAAGAGAGAGUGAUUGAGAAAGGGUCUAUACAGGAUAUAUUUUACGUCGAAGAAGGAUUGUUGCCGAUGCAGGAGGGUGGCUUUCAAAAGAAUCGCCGUUGGGGUUAGGAGAGGAGGUAGGGAGUGACGGAGAAGUGAAGUUUCAAUGGGAGAAGCGGAAGGAGGAGGAAGUGGAAGGGACUUGUGAAUGCAGUGCACAAGCAAUAGAGAGAUGACAAGGUCACAUUUGAACAGCUACUAUGAAGAAAACAAAUUAGUUCAUGCAAAUAUGCAUAUCAAAUAAAGAUGAUAUAAAUCUCUGUAGUGUUGCAUACAAAGAUCUUUGAGAGCCUCAAAAUAUGUGUCAAGUGAAGACUGAAUAAAGUUGCAGGUCGGGAUAAAAGAUAGUACCCUUCUCGCCUCCAUGCUAAAUUGUUUGAGCAUAAUCUUUCCCAAAUCUACACAAGAUAAAUGACAAUAUCAUUUCCUGCCAAACACCAAAAACUCCUCAAGGUCUAAACAAUGAUCAUGAUAAUCCGUAUCUAAUGUUUCUAUCAUACGCUAAAUUCUGUACAUUCAUUUUGCCACAUGGAAGCCCAAUUUCUAAAACAGCCACACAUACAUUUGUGGCGGAUGAAAGAGAGAAUUAUAUUUUAAAAAAAAAAUGAAAGAGAGUCUCAUUUAAAAGCCUAUGCUUUGAACCGCCCCGUAUAAUGUACAAAACAAACAGUCAAUAACACCCAUUUCAUUCAAUCAUCAAGGUACCCCAGAAUAGCAAUAAUAAUAGGAAUCCAACGGCCGAAUGAAAAAUAUUCACAACUGUUAAUUAUAAUGUGAGAUGGUGAAUUAAGUUUGCUUUCCAGAAACGACUGCGUUUUGAGGCUAUAAAAGCUUCUUUAGCUUGUGCUGCUCAGCUGUUUUGUAACGGAAAACAGAUUAGUCAAAACGACGGGGCUGUAGCGCGUUUUGAGUAACAGCUUAAGUAACCACGUGAGGAAGCAUGUGAUGAAACCUGAUUCAAGUUCGUUAAAGUUUGUUAACCACGUGUCAACAAACUGUACAGAAACUAAGCUAGCUAUCAAAAAAGACUAUAAAGGCUGUUUUUCAGGGAUAGUUAGAUGAUGAUUCUAGAGUCUUGUAGUGAGGGUUUUGUGAGAGAGAAAGUGUUAUCUUAUUCUCUGUAAAAUCUGUUGUAAGGCUUUGUAACGAUCUUCAUUGUUAAUUCAAUAAAACUCAUCUUGAGUCUUUUCCCGUGAAUGUAAGCUGAGCAUUCCAUGUAUUAGGAAAUUGGUUGGUGAAGCAGGACCGCAGCUAAAAUGAAAUUGUAAGAAAAUAAAGAACAAGUACAAAAAUUAGACACAAGAAAUUACAUGGUUCGGCUUUUAACCUACGUCCACGGGCGAAAACAGAAGGAAAAUAUUAUACUAGUGAAAAAGAGUUAUAAGUAUUAUAGUAUUUUAGCUCACUACCCAAAAUCCCAAUACACCCAAACUCUCAAAUCACUAAACACAUAAAACUCUCUUCUCUGCAAGAAUUAUUUCUCACAACUCUCGACUCUCUCUACAAAAUUGGAUGCAAAAUGAAAUGGGGAGCUCUGCCUUUUAUAGCCAAAAAAUGGCUAUUAAAUUAUUAUUUUUACCACUGUCUUCAUUCUUCUAUUUUCUUUUUUCUUCUUUUUCUUCAUUCCAAAUUUGAUGCUGCCAAAUUCUUCUUCUUUUUCUUUGGACGACACCAAAACCUUCAACAUUUUCUUUGGCCGGCUGUCAAAGCCAACUUUGCUUAUUCAAGGCUUCUAGAUGUUGCAACCAAUUUUGAAAUUCUCCCACUUGGAGAUCAGAUUGAGAAUCAAUCAAUCUCCAUACCAUCAUUUCUGCUUCGCCAUAAUCAUAUUGUCUACGUUUCUGCUAGGCCACAAGAGGAUAUACUCUAGAUAAACUUGUCAAUAUUGAUUGGCUUGGUCAAAACAUCUGCUAGGUUCUCUUUCGUAUGGAUUUUCUGUAAAUCCACACUUCCGUCUUCCAUUACUUCUCGAACGAAGUGAUACUGAACUCCUAUAUGCUUUAUCCUGGAAUGAAAGGCUGGAUUCCUUGGCAUGUACAAGGCACUCUGACUGUCACAAAACAUAAAAAUUUUCUUUUGUUUGUGCUCGAGUUCCUCCAAUAACCUUUUUAUCCAAAUAGCUUCCUUGCAAGCUUGUGUAGCUGCCAUGUAUUCUGCUUCUGUUGUAGAUAAAGGCACAACGGUUUGUAGUUUCGAAAUCCAGUUUACGGCUACUCCCGCAAGUGCAAACACAUAGCCAGUAGUAGAUUUCCUUUUAUCAAGGUCUCCUGCAAAAUCUGAAUCCACAUAGCCCCUGACAGUAAAUUUCGAUCCUCCAUAACAUAAUGCAACAUUUGAGGUUCCUCUGAUAUAUCUCAGAAUCCUCUUCACAGCUAUCCAAUGCUCUCCACCAGGAUUCGCCAUGUAUCGACUGACUGCUCCCACUACUUGUGCAAUGUCUGGUCUAGUAUAUAUCAUAGCGAACAUUAAACUUUCCACUGAUGAUGCAUAUGGUACUCGAGACAUCUCAUUCCUCUCUACUUCAUUGCUAGGACACAUACUUAAGAAUAAUUUGAAAUUAACAGGAAGUGGGGUAGAAAUUGACUUACAAUCUUGCAUGUUGAAGCGCCGCAAGAUUUUUUUCAAGUAAUUCUUCUGCGAAAGCCAAAUCUUCAUGUUAUUUCUGUCACGGUGAAUUUGCAUCCCUAGAAGCUUGUUUCCUGGUCCCAAGUCCUUCAUUUCAAACUCUUUAGCCAACUGUGCCUUCAAUUCUUGGAUUCGAUCUUUGUUGGGUACUGCUACCAACAUGUUAUCCACAUACAACAGCAAAAUAAUGAAAUCAUUAUCUUUAAACCUCUUGUAAUAUGCACAAUGGUCUGAACUGAGUUUGUUGUAUCCAAAGCCCAUAAUGAAGGAAUGAAAUCUCUUAUACCAACACCUCAGCGCCUGCUUGAGACCGUAUAGAGAUUUGUUCAACCUGCAAACCAAGUUCUCCUUUCCUAUUUUUACAAAACCUUUUAGUUGGAGUAUAUAUAUUUCUUUUUCAAGUUCUCCAUGAAGAAAUGCAGUUUUCAAAUCUAACUACUCUAUAUAUAAGUCAAAUGUAGCACACAUUGCCAGGACUACCUUGACUGUUGUGAGUCGAACCACCGGCGAAAAUAUCUCAUUGAAGUCAAUACCUUCUUUCUGAGCAUAUCCUUUCACCACCAAUCUCGCACGAUACCGCUCCACUUGGUCAUUGCCAUCACGUUUGAUCUUGUAGACCCAUUUGUUUCUAAUGGCUUUUCUUCUACGUGAUAGUGGUACAAGUUCCCAUGUCUUGUUCUUGUGUAGAGCUUCAAUUUCUUCAUACAUUACUGUCAUUCGCAAAGCAACAUCUGAGUUGUUUAAAGUUUCAUGGAAAGUUGAAGACUCUCCAUCCUCUGUUAGAAGACAGUAUGCAACAUUGAUCUCUGUGACAUACUCCGAGUGCCACGUUGGCGGUCGUCUCUCACGAGUUGACCGACGAACUUCUGGAGCCUCGGACUCGACUGGUUCUUGUUCCUCGUGCUCUGGUGCUGCUUCAGAAGAAUCUGAAUCUUCUGGAUUAUUUUUCAUAUAUACCGGUACAGUCUCUGACUUUUCUUUUACAGUGCUAUCAUUAUCAUCUUUCCUUUGCAGUUGAUCUUCUACAAAAAUAACAUCUCUGCUGAUGACGAUCUUGUGGGCAAUGGGAUCCCACAGAUGAUACCCCUUUACUCCAUCAGCAUAUCCCAAGAAGAUACAUCUUCUAGAUUUUACAUCCAGUUUUGCUCUUUCUUGAGCAUUGUACAUCGCGUACACAAGACAUCCAAAUGCAUGUAAGUAGGAAUAAUCAGCUGGCUUUCCAGUCCACAUCUUCAUCGCUGUCUUCAGCCCAAUAGCUGUAGAUGGCGACCGAUUUACUAUAUAACAAGCAGUUUUAGUUGCUUCUGCCCAGAAUGAAUUGGGUAGACCAGCAGUCCUCAACGUAGCUUUUAUUCUUUCUGUAAAAGUUCUGUUCAUCUGCUCCGCCACUCCAUUUUGUUGAGAAGUGUAUGCCACCAUGAACUGUUUUUGGAUACUUUCUUGCUUACAGAAAGCAAGAAACUUGCCGUCUGUAUACUCUCCACCAUUAUCUGUCCUCAAGCACUUGAUCCUUUUACCAGAUUCAAGUUCCAUGUAUUUUUUAAACACUAGAAAUACAUCUGACUUUUUCUUAAUUAGAUACACCCAACAUCUUUUGGAAUAAUCAUCAAUGAAAGUCACCAUGUACUUUGCACCUCCCAUGGAUAUAUUUGGUGAUUUCCAAACAUAAGAAUAAAUCAAGUCUAGAAUGCAUUUACUUCUAGCAAUAGAUCGAUUGAAUUUUAAUCUAUGCUGCUUACUUGUAACACAAUGCUCGCAAAAUAGUAAAUUUACCGAUUUGAGCCCCGGAAGCAAUUUUCGCUCAGAGAGAAUCUUUAAACCUUGUUCCGACAUGUGGCCAAGUUUGAGAUGCCACAUCAUCGUUGACUUUUCUCUAUUUGAUGCGACACACGUGUGGAGUGUUAGAAAAUGUAUAUUUGUAAAGGAGAAAAUCAUCAUUUUACAUUUCAAGUUUUACUAACAACCCUUACUUUUAUGUAUUUAAGCUUCUUGCAAUUUAAUUAUGUGUGUUUAAUUUUAAUUAAGUAUUUUAUGUAUUUUAGGGGCAUCAUGAUCAUUUCACAAUAAACGAGAGAUCAAACGGCAAAACGGACAUCACUUUUAAACUCAGGACGGUCGAAAACUUUAGGAGGAGCAUAAAAGGAAAAAUGACACUAUUCACAUCAUAUCAGUGGACGAAAAAAUCGCACGUACGGUACAUGCAUCACACAGGAUUAUUUUCAACCAAACCGCGUCACUGUUCACCCGGGUCAAACCGUGUUACUGUCCAUCCACGUGGUCAAACCGCGUACUGUUGACUGAUGACGUGGCGCAAUCCUGAGCGUCCAAACUGUUUUUAAUCCGAUGGCCAUGAUUUACUCCAUGUAUCUAUAAAAAUGGGGCUUCUCCCCCUAAUUUGAUAUCUCUGAAUCCAUUUUUGGGAUCAAUUUUCUGUAAUUCCUUCUCCAUCUUAUAUUUUCUACGUAUUUUAAUAAAUUUCUAUUUUGCCACUAGUUCAAUUAUGAGUGGCUAAUUUUCUUUCAAGCUUGGGUUGAAGGUGAAGUCUCAACAUGUGUCAUGGGCUUUAUUUGGUAAAUUUACUUUCUCUUCCCCAAUAAUUUUUGUGGAUGUUUUGACUUCUCGUCGAUAAAUAAUAAUAAUCUUGUCUAGUACCGCCCUGGUUUCACCGGCCCCCUAGUACAAGGUUAUUAUUAUUUGGCACGAUAAGCCCUUAGCACCAUAUUGAUUAGAGCGUGGUUCAUGAGGUGUGGAUUCCCCCUCAUGAUUUAAUUGGUAUUAAUAAGGAAUAUUUAUCCCAUGAUGCAUGUUGAUACGGAUCCAGAUACCCAAGUACUUCAUUUCAAUAGAAUUCUCUUCAAUUUAUUCUCGUCAUUUCAAUUCCAAUUUUAGAAUUUAUUCUCGCCAUUUUAAUUUAAGUUUUAGCAUAUUCCAAAUCAUUUCCACCACAAAUCCAAUCCCCGAUUUACAAAAUUAAUUCUAUACACAAUUAAAAUCCACCUCCUCGUGGGAUCGACACUCGUCACCAUUAGUCUAUACUACAAUAGAUUCGUGCGCUUGCGAGUACAUUAAAAUUUGCACAACAAGUUUUUGGUGCCGUUGCCGUGAAGGUAAGUAAUUUUAAUUAAUAGAAUUAAUUUUUGUGAAUAAUUCCAUUUAAUUGUUUUCUUGUAUUUAUUUCUUUAAAAAAAAGAAAAAAAAAAGUGAAUAUACAGUUAAAGGUUAGUAUUUCUUUUCUUUUUCUCUUCUUUAAAAUUUUAAUUUAAUUUUCAAAUUAAUUUUCUUUGUAUUUUUUUUUGUUUUGUUUAUUUUAUUAAUUUAAUUUUUAGUUAAUUUAUUUCACGUAUUUGUUUUUGUGUAUUUUUAUAGAAAGGUUGUAAUAGUGCAAUAAGGUUAGUAUCGUAAUUUCUCCCUCUUCUUUAUUUUUAUUUGUUUUGUUCCCAUCUUUAUUCUUUAUUUUAUUUGUUUUGCAUGCAUGGUCGUAGGUCAUUAUUUUCUAAUCUUGAAUCUAUAGACCUUGAAUUAGAAAAAACACUUCGCACACAAAAGCACAUUAAAAAUAAAUUUAGAAUGGACUUACAAGCACCACAGGAGAGGCCAUUUAAGGACUACUUCAGUCCUCUAGCUAAUUUGAGCACAUCAUGCAUAAGAUACCCAAAUGUAGCUGCUAGGAGUUUUGAACUAAAACCUAGUGUGCUAAAUUGUCUCCCCACAUUCUAUGGCUUAGAAAAUGAGGACCCAUAUAAUCAUUUGAAUGAUUUUCAUGCUAUUUGUCAAACAUUUAAAUAUGAGAAUUUUUCAGAUGAUGAUGUAAAACUUAGACUAUUUCCAUUUUCUUUAAAAGAUAGAGCUCGUUCAUGGCUUAAUACAUUGUCUGCUAAUAGCAUUGCAUCAUGGGAACAAAUGGUUACAAAAUUUUUUAAUAAAUAUUUCCCAACGCAUAAAACCAAUGCUAUUCGCAGGGAAAUCUCGGAGUUUACCCAGAGAGAUGACGAGCAGUUUUUUGAAACAUGGGAGCGAUUUAAUAGGCUACUCUUGUAGUGUCCACAUCAUGGGUACAAGAAAUGGCACCAAUGCCAAUACUUUUUGGAGGGAUUAUUGCCGAAUGUGCAAGAAUGGCUAAUGGCAACAAGUGGAGGAGAGCUAAUGUCAAAAAGUGCAUCAGAGAUUUGGGAAUUCUUCCAGCGACAAGCGGAUAAUUCCCAAAAACGGAGUUGAUCACUCAGGAACACUAGAAGAAUUAAGGGAGUAAAUGAGGUUCACAUUGGCGAGUCAACUUCGGGAAUCAAAGAAGUCAAGGAGAUGGUUGAGGGUCUUGCUCGACAAAUAGCAUCGUUAUCGACUGCUAAAUCAAUAGAACCACAUGACCAUGACUCAUACUCAGAUCAAGCCAAUGCCAUAUGUGUAAUGAGAAAGCUAUCUAAUUAUAACUCAUACUCCAACACAUAUAACCCUGGAUGGAGAGACCAUCCCAAUUUUUCAUGGUCUCAAGGAUUCCAACAGAAUGGACCAGCAGCUCCAGCUCCACCAAUGCAACAAAUUCCUCAAAAUCCUCAAGCCUCUCAGCCCCCAUUUAGACCAUACAAUCAAAACCAGAAUUACUCUCAACCCAGACCAUGGGAGGAUUCAUUCCAGAAUCUCAAGAAUCUUACUCACUCCACGAUUGAGCAACAGAACCGCACCAUUGAUGGACUACGAAAUGAGUUGAGAGCAGGCUUCAACUCACAAGCUCAAUCAGUUUCAAGCCUCGAGAAGAUGGUGGGACAACUUGCUUCUUCAGUUCAGACCUUGGCAAUGACUGUUGAGAAAGGCAAGUUUCCAAGUCAACCAGUGUCUAACCCUAAAGGAGUACAUGAAGCAAGUACUAGUUCACCAUAGCAACAUGGAGAGGUCAAAGCAGUAAUGACCUUGCGAAAAGGAAAAGAAGUCGACAACAAAGUGGAGAUGCCGAUGACAAAAGAAAAUCAAAUUGUACCUGUAAAUGCUGAGGACUCAUCACCGGAGGAGAAAGAAGAAACCAACCCACGAGAAUAUGUUCCGAAAGCUCCAUUUCCUCAAAUGUUAGCUAAAGGAAAAAAGGAAAAAUCUACAGGUGAGAUUCUCGAAAUCUUCAAACAGGUAAGUGUCAACAUCCCUUUGCUUGAUGCUAUUAAACAAGUUCCAUCUUAUUCCAAGUUUCUUAAAAAUCUUUGUACUAAAAAGAGAAAUAUUCAUGUUCAAAAGAAGGCAUUUUUAAUAGAAAAUGUUAGUUCUAUCCUCCAACAUAAAAUUCCUCUGAAAUGUAAAGACCCAGGCUCCCCCACUAUCUCAUGUAGUAUAGGGAACCACACAAUUGAGAAUACUUUGUUGGAUUUAGGAGCUAGUGUAAAUCUUUUGCCUUACUCUGUAUUCAUGAAACUUGGACUGGGAGAAUUACACCCAACUCCAGUGGUGUUACAGCUUGCAGAUCGAUCCACGAAAAUACCUCGUGGUAUUGUGGAGGACGUGCUUAUCCAGGUAGACAAGUUUUAUUUUCCUGUUGAUUUCAUUGUAAUUGACACUCAACCAAUACAGGAUUCAAGGAAGCACAUCCCCAUUAUUCUAGGCCGACCUUUCUUGGCAACUGCGGAUGCUCACAUUCAAUGCAGGACUGGAAAUAUGCAGUUGUCCUUUGGCAACAUGACUAUGGAGCUGAACAUCUUCAACAUUGCCAAACAACCUCACAAUACAGAUGAUGGAAUUGUUGAUGUGGAUUUAAUUGAAGCAUUAGUUGAUGACACUUUUGUUUCAAACCUUAGUGAUGAUCCUUUACAAACAUGUUUAACUCACUUUGGUUUGGAUUUUGAUAUUGACAGAUCAGUCGAUGAGAUCAACGCCCUAUUUGACUCAGCACCAUCCAUGGACACUAAUAAAUGGAAGUCAAGAGUUAAACAACUAGCACCAUCAGAGAAGAAAUUCAUCCCAUCAUCAGAAUCACCACCGAAACUCGAGUUCAAACCAUUGCCCAACACUUUGGAAUAUGCAUUUUUGGGAGAGGAAAGUUCUCUGCCGGUAAUCAUCUCAUCAUCCCUCAAUGACGAACAAAAAGGUAAGUUGUUGGAUGUUUUAAAAGAGCACAAAUGAGCAUUAAGAUGGACCAUAGCGGACAUAAAAGGUAUAAACCCAGUAGACUGCAUGCAUUACAUUCACCUCGAUGAAAAUGCUAAAUCUACUAGGGAAAUGCAACGUCGGUUAAAUCCUAAUAUGAAAGAAGUUGUUAGAACCGAAGUCCUUAAGCUAUUAGAUGCAGGUAUCAUUUACCCAAUUUCUGGUAGUUCAUGGGUCAGUCAUGUACAAGUUGUCCCCAAAAAGUCAGGAGUCACAGUAGUUACGAAUGCCGAUAAUGAAUUGAUACCCACUAGAGUAACUACAGGAUGGCGUGUAUGCAUUGAUUAUAGAAAGUUGAAUUCUGUCACACGUAAAGACCAUUUUCCUUUACCAUUUAUCGAUCAAAUGCUUGAUAGAUUGGCAGGCCAUGAAUUUUAUUGCUUUCUAAAUGGCUACUCAGGAUAUAAUUAGAUUCCCAUAGCACCAAAAGAUCAAGAGAAAACUACUUUCACUUGCCCUUUUGGCACAUUUGCAUAUAGGAGGAUGCCAUUUGAAUUAUGUAAUGCACCUGCUACAUUUCAACGAUGCAUGUUGAGCAUUUUUUCUGAUAUGGUUGAACGAUUCCUUGAAGUCUUUAUGGAUGACUUUUCUGUCUUUGGUGACUUAUUUGAUCAAUGUUUACAUCAUCUAACACUAGUUCUGUAGAGAUGUAUCGAGAAAAACUUGAUCUUAAAUUGGGAGAAGUGCCAUUUUAUGGUAAAACAAGGUAUUGUCCUCGGUCACAUCAUUUCAAGCAAAGGUAUUGAGGUUGACAAAGCCAAGGUGGAUUUCAUUUCUAAUUUUUCUCCACCCAAAACAGUCAGAGAAGUAAGAUCUUUCCUUGAGCAUGCUGGUUUCUAUCGACGUUUUAUUAAAGAUUUUAGCAAAGUUUCUAGACCCUUAUGCAAUUUACUUGCUAAUGAUGUACCUUUUAUCUUUAAUGAUUCAUGUCUUGUGGCUUUUGAAAAAUUAAAGCAAUUGUUGACAUCAUCACCCAUCAUUCAGACCCCAAACUGGAGCUUACCAUUUGAGCUCAUGUGUGAUGCAUCUGAUUAUGCAGUAGGAGCAGUAUUAGGACAAAGAGUUGAUCGAAUUCCCCACGUUAUUUACUAUGCUAAUAUGACAUUGAAUGAUGCACAGUUGAACUAUUCAACUACUGAAAAAGAAAUGCUAGUAGUAGUGUUUGCAUUAGAGAAAUUUCGAUCUUAUCUCAUUAGUUGUAAAAUAAUUAUAUUUACAGAUCAUGCUGCUCUUAAAUAUCUUCUCACAAAGAAAGAUGCAAAAGCUAGACUAAUUCGUUGGGUGUUACUUUUGCAGGAAUUCGACUUGGAAUUCAAAGAUAAAAAGGGCACAGAAAAUGUUGUGGCGGACCAUCUCUAUCGUCUUCACUUUGACACAAUUACAGAACCAUUACCAUUAAAUGAGUCAUUUCCAGAUGAGCAAUUAAUGAGUGUGGAAGUAUUACCUUGGUAUGCUGAUAUAAUUAAUUAUCUUGUUACAGGUAAACUUCCAGAGCAUUGGACCAAGCAAGACAAGACCAAAUUUUUUGCGGAAAUAAAGAAUUUCUUUUGGGAUGACCCUUAUUUGUUCAAGUAUUGUGCAGACCAAAUUGUCAGACGAUGUGUCCCAGAAAGUCAAAUUCAGAAUAUUCUUUCAUUAUGCCAUGAACAAGCUUGUGGAGGCCAUUUCAGUGCUAAGAAAACAGCGACUAAAGUUUUACAAUGUGGUUUCUAUUGGCCGACUAUAUUUCGAGAUGCUUACACUUUCUGUUCUUCAUGUGAUAGGUGUCAACGAAUGGGGAGCAUUACACGAAGGAACAUGAUGCCACUAAAUCCAAUUUUAGUGGUUGAAAUUUUUUACGUAAGGGGUAUCGACUUCAUGGGACCCUUUCCCCCGUCUUUUGGCCAUCAAUACAUAUUGGUUGCUGUUGACUACGUCUCCAAAUGGGUAGAAGCAAUUCCAUGUAGGACCAAUGAUCACAAAGUGGUGAUAGGAUUUUUGAAAAGCAACAUUGUCUCACGCUUUGGAUUCCCUCGAGCAAUAAUCAGUGAUGGUGGUGCCCACUUUUGUAACAAAGCAUUCAAAGCUCUUUUGACAAAAUAUUCAAUCACACACAAAGUGGCGACCCCGUAUCAUCCGCAAACCAGUGGCCAAGUUGAGAUCUCCAAUCGAGAAAUAAAGCACAUAUUAGAAAAGACGGUGAGGUCGGACAGAAAAGAUUGGUCAUUAAGACUUGAUGAUGCAUUAUGGGCAUAUAGAACGGCCUUCAAGACCCCGAUUGGGAUGUCACCUUACAGGCUAGUGUAUGGAAAAGCUUGCCGCCUACCUGUGGAACUCGAGCAUCGUGCAUAUUGGGCUAUCAAGAAAUUCAAUUUUGACAUGCAGCAAGCUAGCUCAGAAAGAAUAUUACAGCUGGCAGAACUUGAAGAAAUUCGCAAUGAUGCAUACGAAAAUGCCAAGAUUUACAAGCAACGGAUGAAAGUCUUCCACGACAAGCAAAUUAUGAGAAAAUCAUUCACUCCAGGUUAGAAAAUGCUUUUAUUCAAUUCUCGCUUGCACCUAUUCCCAGAUAAGUUACGCUCUCGUUGGUCUGGUCCAUUUAUUGUUCAUACUAUUUUUCCACAUGGGGCAAUUGAAAUUAAAAACCCAAAGAAUGGUGUCACAUUUAAAGUCAAUGGUCAAAGAUUAAAGCCAUAUUUAGAGUACCAAGCACAUGAAGAAGACACCAAAAUAAAUUUGAGUGCCCCACCAGAUUUGAAUUGAUUUUUUUUUCUUCUUUUCGGUGAUUUGAUUUUUUUUUUCUCUUUAUAUUAUUCUUUUGCUAAUUGAAAUUAUUUUUGCAUAAGUGUGUUUGUUUAACCACUAAGUUUUCUCUUAUCAUUAUUAAUCAUGAGUACCAUGUUUAAACCGUUCCUCCUUAACAUUCUUAAACCACUUCAACGUGUCAAAACUCAUCUCAAAAGAUAGAUUCAAUUUUGUAAAACACAUCGCAUUUGGGCUCUACAACCACCAGAGUUAGUAGCCUAUGUUGAGGGUUUAGAAAGCCAACUUAAAGAUAUUGAGAGAAGUGUUUACGACAUCCAGUUGGAGCUUGAGGUAAAUUCAAUAAGAAGACGAUUUUAAUUUUCUUGUGUGUUUUAAUUUGUUUUUCUUUUUGGUGUGUUUUAGUUUGUUACCCCGGUAAAGUGGCGGAUAACGGUACUCCGUGACAAUCAAGUCGGUUACUUCAGUUUCCCAUAAUAACUGAUAUUCUGAGGCGAAGGUAUUGAUAGAAACGAGAUUCAAGCAAAGCUUCACAAGCGAUUCCCUUCACUUCCUCAGAAUGCCCUCCUUACGAUCUAUAAAGCCCGGUCUGAACGCAUGCGAUUACUCAUGAGGAAUAACAUACCUGCAGACAUCCGUUGGUUAAUCGAGGCUAAAGUACGAUUGGCAGGUGAGUUACCUCCUAAAUUUAUUGCAUACAUGCCUGGUUGUGGUAAAGGAAAUUAUGCAAGAAAACGACGAGCUCGAAGAAUUUUUGUUGCUUGUCAUAAGUGUGCCAGAAUGAGUUGCGAUAGAAACCCAUGUUCUUUAGGGAUGGUGUCUGAUAACAGAGAAGAUAAGAUUCAAUUCAUUAGGGAUGGCUUGAAUAAGAAGUCAUUGGAUGAUAUCCUUCUGUCUCUUGAAACGCAUCCCAGUGGAUAUGUGCAAGGAGCGAUUCUCCAGUUAUGGCCAUUAUUCCAGAAAGAGCAUGCACGAUAUAGUCUCGGGAAUCUGACUAUAAACGACCAUGUUUGCCAGUUUAUAAGAAAACUGGAUGGGAAGCCUAUCCUCGACCCAUAGAGGGCGUUCAAGCCGUUUCUGGACGUAAAACCAGAGAAAGAUGUGAGCCACAGUCGCAACUACGUGUAAAUAUCCUUUUACUUUACUAUUAUUUUAUUUCAUUUCACUGUUGUUUUAUUGUUUGCAUUAUUGUCUUUAAUAAUUUUAUUAUUAUUUUCUUUUUCCUUUUUACUGUUUCCUUUUUGACUCACGAGUCAUGUGCUUCACACAUUAUUUGACACUGACAUGUUACCUCAUUCACAACUGUGAUCCACUGUCACCAAGAUUCUUAAAUGUGAUUUCUUUUGUCAAACACUCACAAAUUGUUUUUGAGAAGUAUUCCAAUGGCAGCUACUCCCAAUAGACAAUUCAAGAACAUUUGUGUGCUUUCUGGAUUUACCUAUGGCAAACAUAAAGAGUUCGUUGAGGCAGCCAUAGAUCUUGGUCGAAGUAUAGUAGCGAGAAAAUUACACUUAGUGUAUGGAGGAGGUAACCAAGGGUUAUCAAAAAUGGUCUCAGAAGCAGCUUUUAUCAGAGGAAGUCAAGUGUUAGGCAUCAUCCCAAGAGUCUUAAAACCAUUGGGCAGUUCGUCUGACUCAUCAACUGGAGAAGAGUUAGUCGUCUCAGGUAUGCAAGAAAGAAUAACUGAAAUGCUUAAUCAUGUUGAUGCUUUUAUUUUCCUUCCAGGAGAUCUUGCAACACUAGAGACACUUAUCACACUAGCAUCUUGGGCCCAUCUGCACAUCCACCAGAAACCCAUCGGUUUGUUAAAUGUCAAUAACUUUUAUGAUGGCUUUAUCGCAUUUCUUAACCAUGCAAUAAAAAACUAUUUCAUUCCUUCUAAUGUGAAAAAACUCUUUAUUUGUGCUCACACUGCUAAUGAGCUACUUGAUAUGUUACAAGCUUAUAAACCGGAGCCAGACCCCUAGACCUUUGUGUUAGAGCGACCAAAUAAUGAUGGUAACAGUAGCCACAGUAAGAAGUACAAAUUAGAUUUAACUCUCCGCCUGUAAAUAUUUUCUUCUGUGUUGCACCACCCAGGUGAUGUCUUCUAAACUCUACUUCUUUUCUUUCAAACAUUGAGGACAAUGUUUCGUUCUGGUUGGGGAGAGGGAAUAGUCGACAAUUGUGGAAUCUUGAUUAAGUUUUUACUGAUUUUUUGUUGUAGAAACUAAUUGUUGCUAACUUUUUGUGUUAAAGAUGACCGAAUAUGGAGUGUAGUGACUCUAGAAACGCAUCUUCAUCGUUUAAAAAAACAAACAAAAAAUAAAAAAAAAUUCAAAAUUUUUUUUUCUUUUUCUUUAUUAAGUUUUGAUGUUUAUUUUUCUUCUUCUUUUUAAUUUCUCGUUUAUAAAUAUAUUCAAAUAUUUGAGUUGAAGAUGGCUGAAUAUGGAGUGUCGUGCCUCUAAAAACGCAUCUUCUUAGUUUAAAAAAAAAAACAUUUCUUUUUCUAAUAAAUUUUUCUACAUCAUUUUCACAUUUCUGCAUGCAUAUUUUCCUUUCAUGUUUAGAAUAGGUUGGGGGGUAGAAUGUUGUUUAAAAAAAAUAAUAUUUGUUGUAUUAUUUGUUUUAACAUUGGAUGACAUGAUUAAUUUCAAAUUUUAGUAUUUGUAUUAUCUUUGGUCUUAAGUGAUGUUACGCUAUAUUUGCUACUUUACAUGUUGAUGUCGGAGACAAAUAUGAGUUGCUUGAAGGAAUGAACGUGUCAUAAAUAAGUGCCAAGUGAGUUGUUGAGCCUAUCAUUUUCUUGGAGAGUAACCUUUUUGCCCAUUCUCUAUACAGCUUAGCAGUUUAUUAUUUUACACACGAUUUCUAGAUUUCUUUUGAGUUAACCCUUAAAAAAAUUGUAAAAUAAAAAAAAUAAAAAAAAAAUUAUGUGUUGCUAUAUUGGGAGGCCCAUCUAACUAGUAGAUAUGGAUGAUUAUUUAGAGCCCUAAAAGAUGAUGGAAAUGCCAUUUUUGAUCCGUUUGAGCCUUUCUAGCCAUCCCUUUUGUGAAAUAUCCAUAGUUAAUCAUUUUGAGCCUUUUUUUAAAAAAAAAAACUUUUUAUUUGUUAAACUUAUCAUCUUGACCCACUCCGAUUUGGAGUAUUACCCGAUAUUUUAUAAGUUCCAUCACCUAUUUAUGUUUGAGAAAAAUGUAAAUAAUUAUUUUGUUCAGUGACAUUGUGCCAAGCAAAAGCAAAAAAAAAAAAAUGUUCCAAAAAAAAAAGAGAAAAAAAUAACAAUAAUAGGUGAAAUGCACCUUGCAACUUCCAAAAAAAAAAAAUAUCCUCUGCAUUUUUCUCAAACAUACACUUUGUUUUUCUUAUUUCCCUUCUGUGUAAGCCAUGUCUCUAGCCUACGUUAUGUCCUAAUAAAAGUCCUUCUUGAUUUUAGGGAACUAUAGUUUGAAGUAGAAGCUAGUUAUAUGGGCUAAAAAGAUGUAGUGGUGCAUAAUAAUAAAAGAAAAAGAAAUAAAUAAAAUUGGUUGACUAGCAUUUUGUUUGACUUGAGAUCGUAUUAUUUCUAAGCUGAGGGCAUAUUUCUUUCAUCUUGGUGAGAGCAUGUGAUAUCACUUCUUUAUUAUUUUCUCUCAAUUACCAUUCAUUGGAGUGACUAUUUUUAUUGGGUUUAAUUUCUUUGUGAGAGUGUCACUACUUCCAGUGAGAUUUUGGGGUUUGACAUGUCAUUCUUGAAAGUAGCUAUAACAAAGUCUACUGGGCUGAUUUAUGUAGAUGGUUGAUGUGGGUGUGAUGUUUCUUUAGACUGGAGAUAAUGCUUAUACUUUUAUUUGAUUGCUAUCAUUAAUCUGAUUGAAUAAACACGAGUGUUUCUAUUAAAAAAAAAAUCAUUUUGGAUUUGAAUUUCGUUUUCGCUUUAUUUGCUAGGGACUAGCAAUAAGCUGGUUGGGAGGUGUGUUGAGUGUUAGAAAAUGUAUAUUUAUAAAGGAGAAAAUCAUCAUUUUAUAUUUCAAGUUUUACUAACAACCCUUACUUUUAUGUAUUUAAACUUCUUGCAAUUUAAUUAUGUGUGUUUAAUUUUAAUUAAGUAUUUUAUGUAUUUUAGGGGCAUCAUGGUCAUUUCACAAUAAACGAGAGAUCAAACGGCAAAACGGACAUCACUUUUGAACUCAUGACGGUCGAAAACCUUAAGAGGAGCAUAAAAGGAAAAAUGGCAUUAUUCACAUCAUAUCAGUGGACGAAAAAAUCGCACGUACGGUACAUGCAUCACACAGGAUUAUUUUCAACCAAACCGCGUCACUGUUCACCCGGGUCAAACCGUGUUACUGUCCAUCCACGUGGUCAAACCGCGUACUGUUGACUGAUGACGUGGCGCAAUCCUGAGCGUCCAAACUGUUUUUAAUCCGAUGGCCAUGAUUUACUCCAUGUAUCUAUAAAAAAGGGGCUUCCCCCCCCUAAUUUGAUAUCUCUGAAUCCAUUUUUGGGAUCCAUUUUCUGUAAUUCCUUCUCCAUCUUGUAUUUUCUACGUAUUUUAAUAAAUUUCUAUUUUGCCCCCAGUUCAAUUAUGAGUGGCUAAUUUUCUUUCAAGCUUGGGUUGAAGGUGAAAUCUCAACAUGUGUCAUAGGCUUUAUUUGGUAAAUUUACUUUCUCUUCCCCUCUAAUUUUUGUAGAUGUUUUGACUUCUCGUCGACAAAUAAUAAUAAUCUUGUCUAGUACCGCCCUGGUUUCACCGAGGUACUUGCUACACAACCCUGAGCAUUUGAUGACUCAGGUUCUUUGCCCUCUCUUCUCUUCUGGUACUCCAACACUCUUUCUUGACGUGCCCUUUCUUGCCACAGUUGUAGCAUUUAAUAUUCUUCUUACUUCUAGAUUUUGACUCCCACUGGGGCCACGUUCCGUUGAUCUCCCUCUCGUCACCGAUAGCGCCUCCGCUUGCUGCGAACUUGCUUGUCUAUUUUUCUUAUAUUUUCCGCCUGCUCUCCUCAUUUAAUACAGAGGCUGCAACAUCGUCGAAAAUUAGACUGUCUACUAGAUUGUUGUUCGUCAGGUUGAUGACGAGUUAAUCAUAUGAAUCUGGUAGACUUUGAAGUAGAAGCUCUGCACGUUCAUUCUCCUCUAUAUUAUAACCCAACGUUGUGAGUUGUGAAAAUAGAGUUUUCAAGGUGUUGAUGUGGUUAAUCACCAUUGUAGAUUCCGCCAUUCGAAGAGUAUAGAGUUUCCUCUUCAAGAAAAUUUUGUUGUGUAGUGACUUGGCCUCGUACAAUUUUGUGAGAGUAUCCCAUAUUUCCUUUGCUGUAUUUUUCUCUGCCACACUGGAUAAUACUCCAUCUGCAAGUGCCAAGUGUAGAUCAGCAAUGGCGUUGCCAUCUAUCUCAUUCCACUUGUCAUCAGUUAUCUCCACGGGUCUUUCUCCAAUUGGUGUCAAGUAAUUAUUUCUCCUCAAUACAGCUUUCAUCUUCAUUUUCCACAACGAAAAAUUAUGUCCGUUAAAUUUCUCAAUUUCAUACUUUGUCGCCAUUUUGUUGAUAAAUACAGCAUACAAGCUAGUGUACUAUCCUGAAUAGUUGUGAGUAUGUGUAAGAAUGCACGCCAGGAAAGUUCCCAGGAAAUACUGGAGGGGUCACAAUGGUCCCACUUAAAACCCAAACUCCUUAAACUCUUAUCGCCUUUGUGACAGAACUUUCCUACACAUGUACAAAACCACACAGUUGCUUUACUCACACCACUAUUCUCUGCUUUGCACCGCAAAAUUCUUAGAUCGCUACCGUAUACGUGAACAGUACCGUAUAUGUGAAUAGUAUCGUAUACGUGAACAAUACCGUAUACGUGAACAAUACCGUAUAUGUGAAUAAUACCCUUACGUCAAUAGUACCCGACUCCAAAAAUAUAACCAAUAGCUCUGAUAUCACUGUUAGGAAAUUGGUGGGUGAAGCAGGACCGCAGCUAAAAUGAAAUUGUAAGAAAAUAAAGAACAAUCACAAAAAUUAGACACAAGAAAUUACGUGGUUCGGCUUUUAGCCUAGGGCCAUGGGCGAAAACAGAAGGAAAAUUUUAUACUAGUGAAAAGGAGUUACAAGUAUUGUAGUAUUUUAGCUCACUACCCAAAACCCUAAUACACCCAAACUCUCAAAUUACUAAACACAUAAAACUCUUUUCUCUGCAAGAAUUAUUUCUCACAACUCUCGAUUCUCUCUACAAAAUUGGAUGCAAAAUGAAAUGGGGAGCUCUGCCUUUUAUAGCCAAAAAAUUGCUAUUAAAUUAUUAUUUUUACCACCGUCUUCAUUUUUCUAUUUUCUUCUUUCUUCUUUUUCUUCAUUCCAAAUUUGCUGCUGCCAAAUUCUUCUUCUUUUUCUUUGGACGGCACCAAAACCUUCAACAUUUUCUUUGGCCGGCUGACAAAGCCAACUUUACUUAUUCAAGGCUUCUAAAUGCUGAAUCCAAUUUUGACACCAUGCACAAUUGAACCAUGUAAAAGUCUUGGUUUAUGUGGGUUCUUGUUUUCAGUUUUUAUUCUUGAUUAAUUUCUUGUUGUUUUGCUAUUGAGUGAAUUGAUAUGUUUAGAUCUUAGAAUUGUGCAACUUGUAUUGAUUUGAUCACAAGUAUCUUGAGUAGUGAUCAGUCUUGUUUAGCUUUAUAAGACUUGCUAAUCACUACAAUUAUUAAUAUUAUUAUUUUGUGUAAGGGGAAGAUUUAUAUUACACACACACACACACAUAUAUAUAUAUAUAUAUACACAUUCACUACAUUUCUUUUUUAACUUCAUUUCAAGUGAUCAUGUAUUACGUUGAAUUACGAUUUAGAUAACCAAAAUGCGUAGGAUUAUUCAGCAUACAGUUAAUCAACCACAAUUCCCUUAUAUUUCACAGUGGCAUCAAUCAUAAGCCCAUUAUAUUAGAUUGACAACAAUUGUACAAUAAUUAAAGAACUCAAUUUUUUUUUUUUUUUUUUUUUUUUUACUGCUUUAACAUUGGAAUUUGUCAGCUAAAACUAAUGAGGUCCUUUCAUCCACAACAAAUUUAUACACGUGGCGCACUCUUGACAAAUUUCUUAUCACAUCAUGGGCCGUUAAAUACAUAUGGUAUGUUUGGAAUUGCUCUAUAUUUGACAUAUGUAUAAUAAAUAAAUUUUAAAAGUGAUUAUUACACAAUUUAUAAAUAAUCAAUUUUUGCAUUGAUUCUUAAAAGUAGGAAAUUGUAACUUUACGAAAAUUAAUUAUUUAAUAAUGUGAUUAUGAAUUGUUUAUAUGUCAUUUUUACCCUCCUUAAUUUUUCUUAAUCCCAAAAUAACCUUGUGUCAAUAUUUAAAUUUAAUUAGCUUAUUGUUUAAAUUUAGUUACCUUAUUAACUAUGAAAUAUUUAUUUGAAUUUUAUUAAAUAAAAAAAAAAUAAAACUUAAAACCCGAGGCCACCGCGCCCGGCGGGGAGCCACCAUUGUUGACAUUGGCAUUCAAGCUUGUGAAACAUUGUUAGCAAUAAAAAAAAAAGCUCAGAAUCCAACGAUCUAUGCACCGGAGUGAAUAUUUCCGUCCACAGCAGUUCGGUUUCACGGCGGAGAUGCUGCAACCUUCGUCAUGAAUUGCGCGUGUAGUAGGAUUGGCCAUUUUCUGACAAAAUCUUACGCUAUAUUUGAGCACAUCAUGGUCUUAGGGUUCGAUUGGUAUAAGCGGUGUUGAUAACGGACCAUUUCCGGCAGUAUCUGAAAUUUUGACCGCUGCGUGCGGUGAACUUGUUCACUAUUUUCCGACGGUCAUGAUAGUAAGGGUCUCAUCGGAGAACUAGGAUUUCAAUGAUCAUGGUGGGGCGUUCCGAGGGCGACAUCCCUCCUCAUCGCCGGUGAGUGGCCGAUGAUCUAUUUUUUAUUUCUCCGGUGAUCUAUUUUCAAUUUCUUAGUAAAUAUUUUUUUAAUUUUAAAGUGAAAAUAAACACCAGUUAAUGUUAAUUAUUUUUUGAAACAUCAAUGGAAAGUUAAAAAAAAAAAUAUCGUAUUUAUGAUUUAAAGAAAGUAUAAAUAGAAAGUUCAAAAACAUAAAAAUAUUUCUUUACUGAAUAAUUUGCUUCGAAAUAAAUUUUAAUUUUUUGAAUUAAAAUUUUAAUUGCUUGUAAUACAACCAAAUAAUAUCAUUAGUUCACUUUCGUCAUUUCAAUUUACAUAUUUCCUUUCAUGAUUUACCAAACAUGCAUGUCAAAUUAUAUUAUAAAUGAUUAUGGUAUAAUUUUAAUUUACAAAUAUUUAUUAAAUUAUUUAUAAAACUGAUUAUUUCAAAAUCUAUGCUAAAAUAUAUUAUUUGAGAAGCUAAUGCAAUCCCAAACAUAGCAAGAAGCAUUACAUAAAAAGGAGGCAAAGAAUAAGGUACAUAAUAUAGAUUUCUCUACUCUUGAGUCAUUUUGGUUGUUUACCCGCCUGACAGAAAGCGAAAGAAAAUGUCAAUUGUCAAGUGUGAUGGGGCAAGCAAAGCAUAUCGAUCGAUCACACGGCAAGCUGCAGCCUGCAGUACUUAAAGACAUCCAGGUCCAGGAUUUAACUAGUAAGCAUGUUGGCGGAUUUUUGAAUAUGGAGGCAAAUAACAAUAAGAGAAUUUGAUUCGUGUUUGCACACUUUCUGUUAAAGUUUUAUUUGCUCUCACUAAUUUUGAUUUGUUAUAGAGUUUUAAUAACAAAUUACCCUUAAGAUAUAACAAAUUCUGAAUACAAUCUCUAACAAAUAAGAUUGUAUUCUAAGAACACAAAAGAAAAAUUGUAAAUAAUCUUGUAUAUAUCUUUUUAAUCUAAUGUAUGUGUCUAUUUUAAUGAAGAACAUGUUUAUAUGAAAGAUUACAAUAAUUAGAAAUGGUAUUUUUCAAAGACACUCUUUUGGUUUGAAAUUUGCAUCCAUUCACAAUCAAAAUUUUCAAGCCUGCUAACCGUUUUUUCAGUUGACGCGAAAACACACUUUCUAGAAGAAAAUGGUUAGCCGUGAUCUCAAUAACGGCGAGACGUUUUAUUCCAGAAUGUCAAAAUAAGUUGCUCUCUGGAAAUAAACAGUUAGUUGUUUUCUCCAAAUGAUUAGCCGUUUUCUGUAGAACAGAAAACAUGCUCUCUGGAAUUAAACGGUUAGCCGUUUUUUUCAAAAAUGGCAAGCUGUUUUAUUCCAGAAUGUCAAACCAAAAAAGAAAAAUGUUACAAUCUCUCUUACAAAGCAUCAAACAAUUGCUCAAAUAAAUCUUCGCAUUCGCAAACAUGAAUCCUAAUUUGCACAAGGCUGUAGCUAAGGGUGAAAUUGAACGAGAUUGAAAAAGAUGAACUUGUAAGCAUAGUGACUCACGACAAGAAUACGGUCCUUCAUGUCAACAUUGCAUCCUCUCAACAAGAAGGAGAAAGGGUAUAAACGGAGUUCGUGCAACGGAUACUCGAAAUGUGUCCAUCAUCGCUACUCCAAGUUAGUGACAAAGGUGAUUAAUAUUUUGUAAUAUUUAAUUACAAAAUAUUAAAUAAAUAUUAGAAUCUAUCAUUCCAUUAUUAUAUCUUCAAAAAAAAAAAGUUUCAUUUUACUAUACUUUCAUUAAUUAUCCUUUAUUGUUUCUAGUUGUAGUACGGCAACUCUCGAAGCUAGUCUUAAUAGAGAUCAGUUCAAUGUUAAGGUCAUAACUGACAUUAAAGCAGUGAAAAUGAGUUGCACACAAAAACAAGAUAAAAUAUUAAGUGCUAACCCCCUUCUUGUUUGUUUUUUUUUUUUUUUUAUUACAUGAGACUAUUGCUCAGAUUACAACUCAUAUACAUGAGACUAUUACUGAUAUUUACAAAUCAAACUAUUACUGGGACCAACUGACAUCAAUGCUAAUGGAGCUCUGCCCAGAUUUUAACCCUCACAAAUAUUCGAGGGAUGUCUACUCCUCACUCAUGGGUAAUAGAGAAGACUACCUUCACUCAAAUUAAUUGAACAAGGAAAGACCCCCACAAUGCUUUUGUGGGGGUUCGAACUGCUGCCCUCCAAGUUGGAGGGCAGCAGCCCUGGCCACUCGGGCUACUGCCCGAGUGGUUCCCCUUCUUGUUUGUUAAAAUAUAGCGAAAGCCCCUAAAUAUUUCAAAAUCUAGCAAAAUCUCAUGUCAUCAGUAUUAUUAACGUUUAAUAUUUGGAGUUAUCAUUUAAAUUGGGCUCACACCUUAUUAUUUUUAACCUCGUCGAUGCUGUCACGUGUACUGUGUACACCACCAAAUUGGAUGUUUAAAUUGGAUUAACGCGUUUGAUUUAUUCAAUAAUUAACGAUAAAGUAGCUACUCCUCCCUUCUCACUUCUAUGCUUCAUGGGUCCUUUGUUACAUAAUUCUCGUAACCACGGAUUUGCUCUAAUCAUUACCCCAGAAAUGCGUCUGAGGUCUAUUAGAUCCAUAUUUCUUUUGCAACAAAGCCACUUACUACAUUACCCUAGGCUCUUUAGAGCAUCUUCAAAAGACUCUUCAAAUAAAAUUCUACUUUUUAUUUGAAGAGUCAUAUCAAUACUAAAUAUUCUAAAAGACACGUUAAUUUAAAUUCUCCAAAUAAAAUUUAUUUCUCACUCUUCAAUAUUGCCGAGUGAGUUUCUCCCUCUUCUAUUAAUAUUUUUUUUAUUAUUUAUUGAAAAGAUAAGACUGCAAUAAUUAUUAUUUAUAUUUCCUUUCCAAAACGUAACAACAAUUCAAUUUGAUAGUGGGAAAGAUUUAAUUAAAAUAAUAUUAACUUAUUCUUAUUUAAUGAGUCUUUUGGAGGGGAUUGUAAUUUUCUAUACACUUAUUUGUCACAUCAGUAAGUAAAUUGAAAUUUAAAGAGUAAAAUCUAAAGAGAUACUCUUAGCUAAUAGCUAUUUAGUAUUUACACUAUUUGCUGAUGGUUAAAACUCUUCUUCCUUUAUAGAUAGAAUGAUUGACUUUGAAUUUUAUUAGAAAUCUUAUUUUUUUGUAAAUAUAUUUUUGUAAGUGUGAAGUUGCUCCGAUAAUGACUUAAUGUAAUGAGAGAAAACUGUAAUAUAAAUUAAAAAAAAAGAUUUGUAUUAUUUAAUUAUCAAAAGGUUAGGCUUCGGAGAUUUUUUUUUGGGGGGGGGACAAAAAGAAUUCUUAUUAAAUAGAAAUUUUUUUAAAAAUUGACAAGCUAAGUGUCGCAAAAAAUCUUCCAUCAUUAUAAAACAACUACGGGAAUGAACUGUAAAUUUAGCUAACAACUUCAUUACAAUUAGCUUAGGAGAAAAUUUUGAUCUCUAAAGAGUAUAUUAAUUAUAAAAAAAAAACAGAAACACCGUUAAAAAUAUAAAUUAAAAAAAUAAAGACAAUCUCUAAAUCUAUUAUACUUUGUCACAUGGUAGAGCAAGAACUUUAUUAUGAAUCACAAAUAAAUCUUACUUUAGAAUUUAUAAAUUUUAAUAUUAAAAAAUAAUUUAUAUACAAAUGGCAGAAUAUAAGUCGUUGGUCCUACCUUCAACUGAGAUGAUAGGCCAGCAGUAGGGGUGGGCAUGGGUUGGGUUGGAUAGGAUUUGUGAAAAUCCAACCCAACCCAUUAUUGAAUGGGUUGAGAUAAACUCAACCCAACCCAAUUAAAUAAACAUGUUCAACCCAAUCUAACCCAACCCUUAAAUUAUCGGGUUGGGUUGGAUUUGGAUGAUUGGGUUGAAGAUUUGAAGUCAAAUCAAAAUUAAAAAUUAAAUAAAGAAAAAGAUAUGAAAAUUGAAAUAAAACUUAUUGAAAUCAAAUAUAAAAAUAUUAUAUUAUGAAAAUUUUAUUCACUGUCUAGUAUUUGAUAAAGAAAACUAAAAUAAUAUAUAAUGAAUAAUUUAAAUAAGUACCUUAGUUGAUUGAGAAUUGAGAUUUAAGAGAGUGAUUUUAGUUUUGAAGUUAGAGUCUAAAGUAGUAGAUACAAGAAUAAAAUAAUCUCUUUAUAAGAAAAUAAAAAGAGGAUAAAAAAUAGAUUAAACGUUUCAAUUUUUAGGAUUUUGCAAUUGAGAAUUUUCUUCUUCUUCUUCUUCUUCUUCCUCUUGUUAUUAUUAUUAUUUAUGUGGGUUGGGUUGGGUUACAUGGGUUUAUCAUAAUUAACCCAACCCAACCCAAUUGUUGAUUGGGUUAAAAAAAAAUUGACCCAAUUAACUUAUAAUAACCCACUCAACCCAUCAAAGUUAAAUUGGGUUGGGUUAGAUCAAUUGAGUUGGAUUAGGUUUGUCCACCCCUAGCCAGUAGAUAGAAAUUUUUCUCAUAAGUAAAACUUCUACAUCAUAAAGAAUACUCUUUAAAGAUAAAAUUAAAAGUGACAUAGUUAUAUUAUGUGAUAGAAAAUGUGGCAAAAUAAACAGAUUAAGUCCUUUGAAGUCAAAUUAUCUUGUGAAAGGCGUGUGAUCUAUGUAUUGUCAUAGAAAAUGUGUAGCAUCUUGGAUGGCCAUACUUUGGCAUUGACUCCAAAUAUAACAAAAAGAUAGAAAAGAAAAGAUUGAAAAAGAAAGUGAAAGCCUACCUUUGUGUCUUGAUCUCUUUAAUUAGGGGUCGAUAUUUUCGUAUCUAGUUUAGUUCGGAUUAACCUUUAGAAAUUUAUUGAGUUGAAAGUUAGAAAUAUAUCGGAUUAAAAUAAGGUUCAGGAAACCGAUUUGCUCACCCCUUCAAUUUCCAUCUCAAUGAUAACAAGUUAAGUGAUGUCAAAAAUCUUCCAUCAAUACAAAACAAAAAUGAAAUGCGAACUUAUAUAAAGAAUCUGUAAUAUUAUUAUAACUGACUUAAGAGAAAAUCUUAAAUCAUAAAGAAUAUAGUAAUUAUUAAAAUUAAAUAAAAUAAAGAAACACCCAAAAAAUAAAAAAAAAAUUAAAAUAAAGAUAGAGAAUCUUUGAAUACAUAAUUAAUUAAUUAUCAAAUAGUCAAGUAUGAGAUAGUUCACCACAAACAUACUAAGAGUAAUAAUAUAGUCACAAGCUCUUAUACAAAUUUAUUUUGUACAAAUAAUGUGGCAUGAUAAAAUUGAUUGAAUUAAAUAUCUCUUGGACCACGUGAUUUAUUUUUAUUAUUUUAUAUUUUCAUUAAACCAAUGAAUUAAUACCAAAUCAAUUUGUACAAGAUGAGUUGGUACAAGAGUUUGUGGUUGUAUCAUCACUCAUAUACUAAUAUAAUGAGGAGUGAUGAUACAACCACAAACUCUUGUACAAACUUAUUUUGUAUAAACUGAUGUGGCAUUAAUUCAUUGGUUAAAUAAAAAUAUAAAAUAAUAGAAAUAAAUCAUGUGGGCCAAGAGAUAUUUAAUUCAACUAAUUUUAUCAUGUCACAUCAGUUUAUACAAAAUAAGUUUGUACAAGAGUUUAUGGUUAUAUCAUUACUCUAUAAUGAGACCGGCUAUUGAUGUUCUGAUAUGUGGUAGAGUAAGGAUCCGACUUUAAAAUCUAUUUUUAAUAUUAAGAAAUAACUGCAUAGCAUGAUUAGUUGAUCCUCCCAUAGGCUGAAGUGUAGGCCGGUCUAUAAAAUUGUUUCUCAUAAUGAAUCAUCUAUUAGAUUAGAAAUCUUUAAACAUAGAAUGAAAAGUGAUAAAAUUACAUUAUUUGGUAAUAUAAUCAAAAGUUACGUAGUUAUUUAAUUGUCAAAUAGAGCGUAGACAAUGAAUCUCUGUAUAUAUUUUUUAAUCAACAAUUAUAGACAUACAAUGUAUCAUGUAAUAAUUGCACAUCAUCAUUUCUUAUUUAACUGAAAGGUUUUAUUUGAUACCAUACAAAAUUCAUAUUCUAACUUUGGGAGUCUGCUAAGUUACAUAAUCUGUAACUUAAAGACCUACCUUUAGUACCUACUAGGCUACUACCUAGCUUUAAUACCAAAUGCAUGCUCUUCCUCUCUCUCUACAGGACACGUGUAAUCAUCCCGUUUGAUGUGUAAGUAACAUAAUCUGUAAUAUAUCAAGCUCCCUAACUUUGUGAAAAUAUCCAUGCCUUUAUGUAAUUGUCAAAAUGAUCUAGGUCAAACUUAUCAGUUAGCUGAGCAAUAUACAGUACCAUAAUGAAUUGUCAAAUAAUGUUUUUUAAGAUAAUGACAAAUAAAAUUCUUUAAAACAUAAGACUCAAAAGAGAGGUAGUUCAUUAUGUGGUAGAAAAUGUGGCUAGGUGAAAAGUGCAUACGGAUAAAUUACGCGGGCUAUGGAUUGUAGUCGAGUAGUCUAUAAUUGGAAGGCCAAGUCUAGUUGUUAUAAAGCGAUGCUGCUGAAAACAACAAGAAAGAGCGCCUCGUCCAUAUAAUCCCCUGCUAUUUUCUUGAAGCAACAGAGCUCACAGGUAAACAAGUUGGUGGUGGUGAUGGUGAGUGGUAGGUAGGAUCGGCUUAAUCAUAGCUUUAGGUAAAUGAUUUUAGGCUCAGUUUGGUACUAAAGUGUUAUAAUUUUUAAGGUAUAGUUAUUGAAAAAAAAUUAUAAUUAUAAAGUAAAAAUUAAUAAUAUGUAAUAAUAUAAUUUUUAAAUAAUAAUUUUGAUAAAAUUAGUAAAGAUAUAAUGAAUUUUUUAUUAUACAAGAGUAAAAUCAAAUCAACUUAACUUUCAAACUACAGCAACUAGUGUUUACCAAACGCUUUGAUAUUGUAACUUUUAAGGUACAUCUAAAAAUUACAACUGUCAAACUUCAAUCCAAACUGGUGUUAAUUAGUUCUUCUUAAAAUUUGAGGAAGAAUAUAUAUUAAUUAUAUUAUAAAAUUUAAUUAUUUGAAAUCAAUUCUUCCAACAAUCUAAGAUGUAAAAUUAUUAAAUAAAAUUCUAUUAUACUAUUGCUAAUUUAUGAAAUUUAAAUUCAAUUAUAUCAUUUUCACUUAUUAUUUCUUCACUCAAUUACAUCUUUUUUACUACUCCUUUUUUAGAUUAAACUAAUUUUUCUAUUCUUCUAUUUUUUAAAAUUUUUCGAUACAAUUUUAUUUCAAAAUGGAUAGAAUAGACACACAAAAAUAAUAAUAGUAGAUGAACAAAAGAAUAUAUUAAAAAGAAAUAAGAAUAAAUAAACAACACAACUAAUUAAGAGAAAAAUAAAAAUAUAAUCUAAAAUUUGAGAUGAAAUCAUAAAUUAACUUUAUCUUUAAUUAUUUGAGGAUUUAACAAUGACUAAUAACCAUGGAAAAUAAGUUGUCAAAAAAAUAACCAUAAAAAAUAGAGAAACUAUAAGACCUUUUUUUAUUAUUAUUUUUUAGCGGGAGCAAGAGGAAGAUUUCUCACAAGCAUUACUCUUCCUGAUUAAAGGGGAUAGAAAGAAUAUACUUCAUAAAGUACCAUUAUUGUUAAAUGUUGAUAAAGAUCCAAAGACAUUUAGCAAAGCUAUGUCUUCUAGAGACGCUUCCUUUUGGAGAGAGGCGGUAAAUGACAAAAUUAAUUCAAUUAUGUCAAAUCAAACAUGGAUCUUGGUUGAUCUUCCUCUAGGUCUAAACCAAUUAGCAACAAAUGGGUGUUUAGAAGAAAGUACAACAGUGAUGGUUAUUUGUAAACUUUUAAGGCUAAAUUAAUAGCCAAAGGGUUUAAGCAAAGAAGUGGUAUUGAUUAUUUUGAUACAUAUGCUCCGGUGGCAAGAUUAACAUUUAUAAGAGUGCUCUUUACAAUUGCUUCGUUGAACAAUUUGCAUGUGCAUCAAAUGGAUGUCAAAACCGCUUUUCUUAAUGGUGAUCUUGAUGAAGAAAUCUAUAUGGAACAACCCGAGGGAUUUGUUUUGCCUGGAAAUGAGACAAAAGUAUACAAGUUAGUCAAGUCGCUUUAUGGUUUAAAGCAAGCACCAAAACAAUGGCAUGAGAAGUUUGAUUCGGUAAUCUUAUCUCAUGGUUUUAAGCAUAAUAAUGCUGAUAAAUGCAUAUACUCUAAGUUUAAGAAUGAUUUUGGUGUGAUUAUAUGCUUGUAUGUUGAUGACAUGCUUAUCUUUGGAACAAAUAUGCAAGGAGUAAAUGAUACAAAGAAGUAUUUAACUUCACAAUUUAAAAUGAAAGAUCUUGGUGAAGUCGAUACUAUCUUAGGUGUAAAAGUGAAGAAACAUAGUGGGAGUUACUCGUUGUGUCAAUCUCAUUAUAUAGAGCAAGUGCUUCUUUAAUUCAAUUAUUUGAAAUAUAAAGAAGCCAAUACCCCAUAUGGUUCUAGUAUUAAAUUACUAGAGAAUUCAGGUCGAGCAGUAGCACAAUUAGAAUAUGCCAGUGCUAUUGGUAGCUUGAUGUAUGCUAUGCAUUGUAUGAGACCAGAUAUAGCUUUUGUGGUUUGCCAAAUGUCAAGAUUCACGAGUAACCCUAGUGUUGAACACUGGAAAGCAAUUGGAAGGAUACUUGAUUAUCUUAAAAGGACUAUUAAUUUGGGCUUGUUUUAUAAUGAUUAUCUUAAAGUCUUAGAAGGAUAUUCAUAUGCUAGUUGGAUAACCAAUACAAGUAAUAAUAAAUCCACUUCUGAUCGGAUUUUUACAAUUGCUGAAGGAGCUGUUUCUUGAGCUUCAAAGAAACAAACGUGCAUAACUCAUUCAACAAUGGAAAGUGAGUUUUAUAGCACUUGCAGCUGCAAGCAAGGAAGCAGAAUGGCUGAAAAAUUUGUUGUUUGUGAAAUACUAACUAGGCAACCCAAGAGGGGGGUGCAUUGAGAUUUUAAAAUUUAAACUAAGCAAACCAUACAAUAAUUUAAUCUAAUGCCUUAAUAGAAUAAAAAACAAUAAAUGCAAUAAAGCAUAAUAAUAAGAGAGUAAGGGAAGAGAAAACAAACACAAUGAUUUUUACGUGGUUCAGCAAUCCUUACCUAUAUCCACGCCUCCAAGCUCACCCGGCUUGAAGAUUUCACUAUCCAAGCCUCUCAAGACUUCAAGUUCUUUACAAUUGGCUUCCAAGGUGUCAAUAGACCUUUAUAAUCAAGAGAUUAUCUCCCAAAUCUCUUUACCCCAAGUGUUUCUCACACUUGUACACUCACAAUUUGAUGAGAAAUGAAAAUUACAACAAACAACUCUCUUUUAGAGUGGAUAUACAAAUGAUAGCACAAUGAAGAUUUAAUCUAUGAUUAUUUGCGAAAUUGAAGCUCAAUAUAUGUUGUGUGCACUUGUUUAUGCUUGCAAAGAUUACUAAAAAUGAAUUGGAUUUGAGCUUAUAUAAUUAAAGCCCAAAAACUAGCCGUUAUAGACUUUUUGGUGAUAAUCGGCUUGUCGCUUUGUGAAUCCAGUUAGCUGCUUUUAUGUUACUGUUACAGCAAAUAUUUAAAUUUUGGAACAUCUGGCAUGCCGCUUUUGGAAUUCGGUUAGCCGCUUUCAUUCCAGUAAGCUAUUGCCUAUAAUUCGGCUUGCCGCUUUGUAAAAUCUGGUUAGCCGCUUUGCUACAGUGACGGCUACAGUGAACUAUUUUCUAAAAUUACGCUAUAGCCCAAAACAUCAUAAAACUUUGCACAAAUGUCCAAUUUCAGAAUUUCUAAAUAAUGCUUGUUAUUCCUAAAAUUUUAUGAAAUUAUGAUAUCACCCAAAACACUAUAAAACUUUUCAAAUAAGUCCCUCCCCAGAAUUCCAAACAAUACAUGUUGAUUUCAAAGUUUUCAAAACUCUUUUAAUUAGACCAUAAACUUGAAAAACAACCAAUUUUAUAAAAUCAUUUUUCCAUUAAAUAUAAAACCUUUAUAAUGUGAAAAUAAUGAUUUAUUUAAAAUGUAUAAAAAUAAUUUGAGCUUUUAAAAACUUAAUCAUUCUUAAUUGUGUUUGUUAUCAUCAAAAUCAACAUUAUGGAUACAUAAAUGUUAAUAGUUUGAUAUAAAGUUGUGGUCACAACCGAUGCCAUCUAUUUCUUUAUACUGCGAUAGUGCAGCUACAUUGUCUAGAGCUUAUAAUAAAGUAUAUAAUGGAAAAUCUAGACAUAUUAGCUUGAGACAUGAAUAUGUGAAAUAAUUACUAGCAGAUGGUGUUAUUAAUAUUGUUUAUGUUAGGACUAAUAAGAACCUAGCAGAUCCUUUAACAAAAAGUCUUUCAAGAGACGUAGUUAAGGAUACAUCUUUUGGAAUGGGAUUGAAACCUUUUUUUGAUAAACUCACCAACGACAAUAACCCAACUAUAUAAUAGUUAUACCACUAUUCCAUAGUUAUAUGGGUAAUAACAAGUUGUUGUAUUGUGACUAGUUUGGCACCGACAAUAAAUAAUGUCAUUCAAGAUAUUCGGUGCAAAUAGCUACAAGGUUGAGGUUGAGUAUUUACUCUGAAUGAAGUUCAAGUCUUAUAGUAGAUAAAGACAUGAUUUGAAGCUUCACCUAAGUGAACAUAAGAAAUGGUGCCGUUUCUAACAAGAUCGUGGUUUAAUCUUGUAAAUGUUAAUGAAUCCAAGAUAGAGCACAAGGCCAAAAUAGUGCUAAAUAUUGGAACAUAACUUUGAAAUCUGGGGUAGCUUAUAUGUGACGUAUCUCCAGUAUUUACUUAAGAGACAAAGUUUAAUACUUAGCACACUAUUGUCUUGUAAAUGCUUUGAAAUACACUCACUAAUUAAAGGUUAAAAUCAAAAGAUACAUUUUUGUACGUAUAAGUUUAUCAUUAAUAAACCUGAAAAAUAUUACAAUCUAGCAGGUGAUUGUAACAUUUUUAAAUUUGACAUUUUGGAAUAAAACGGCUUGUCGUUUUUAAAAAACGGCUAACCAUUUAUUUCCAGAGAGCAUGUUUUCUGUUCUACAGAAAAUGGCUUGCCGUUUGGAUAAAACGGCUAACCGUUUAUUUUCAGAGAGCAUGUUUUGUGUUCUACAGAAAACGGCUAACCAUUUGGAGAAAAUAACUAACCAUUUAUUUCUAGAGAGCAACUUAUUUUGACAUCCUGAAAUAAAACGGCUCGCCGUUAUUGAGAAAACGGCGAACCGUUUUCUUCCAGAGAGUGUGUUUUGGCGUCAACUAAAAAAAACGACUAGUAGGUUUGCGGAAAAAAAAAAAAAAAAACCAUUUGUGAAUAGAUGCAAAUUUCAAACCAAAGACUGUCUUUGAAGAAGUACCAUUUCUAAUGGUUGUACGUAAUCUUUCAUAUAAACAUUUUCUUCAUUAAAAUACACACUCACAUUAGAUUAAAAAAACCAGAUUAUCACAGAUUUCAAGUGUGUUCUUGAAAUAUAAUCUUAUUUGCUAGAGAUUGUAUUUAGGAUUUGAUAUAUUUGGGGAAUAAUUUGCCAUUAAACUGUAUAACAAACCAAGAAUGGUGAGGGCAAAUAAAACUUUAAAGGAAAGUGUAUAAACACGUCUCAAAUCCUAAGAAAUUUUCCUUAUUCUUUGCCUCCAUAUUUGAAAAUCCUCCAACAUCUCUAUACCCCAAAACUAACCCUACGUGUACCUUAAUCAUCUCACUUUUUUUGCUAUUUAAACCCACAACUAUUCAUCUUCUACUUUUGUUAUUCUCUGUACUCAUUUUUUUUAAAAAUUUUUUAUUUAUAUUCUAGAUUUAAUUUUAGAAACCCACAUCCUCGACAUCUUUAACGAAUUGAAAGGUAAUUUAAUUUUGAAACCCAUUCUUAUGCAAUUUAAGUCCCUGAAAUAAUUAACAUAAUGCCAGCUGCUAACACUUGCCGUAAGUUUCAAUAUCUGCUAAACAAGGAAGGAAAGCAAUAUUUUUACAAACCAGAACAGUUUCAAAAAUUAAUUAAACUUGAGAAGGUCAACAUGAAAAGGAAAAAGAUAGUGAUAUGUGCGUAAAUAGUAACAGAAAAAAAAACACAUAAUAUUAGAGACAAAAAGAAAAAAUCGUUAAAGAUAAAAAAAAAAAAGAAAAAGACAUUUCACUCCUAGACCACAAAAAAAAUAAUGUGUUGUUGUGCUAUUUUUGGACUUUAGUCUUGUUAUGUUAUAUAUAUUUUGUACUCUUUUUUGUACAGACAUCAUAUUAUUCAUAACAAUAUGUGCUGUGUAUUUUUGGCUCUAGAUCGUUUUAUAGGAUGUAUAUAGACCAAGAAAUUUGACUUAAUUAGGAGCUACUUUACUAAUUUCUCUAAGAACUAUAAGAAAAAUCAAAUAUACAAUCUCACAAAUCUUCUUGAUUUCCAAAAAUUAAACAUCAACCAUAGCUAGUGUAAACAAAUCUUACCGUUGGAGUAAAAUCUCCAACUUGAACGCUAAAUCCACACAUUUCUUACUUUAAUCUAUCUUUAGGCAAACAACACAACUGAAAACUUCAAUUCCCUUUCUAUGAAUGAAACUAGAUAUGAAAAUAUGAUGAUUUCUAAGUUUAAAACAUUCAAAAAUCAAAAGCUCCUAUCUUUCCAUUUCCUUUUUAGUGGGUUCAAAAUUUAGUUAGUAUUAUGGCAACGUGGGCUUAUAACUUAUUGGACCAACUAAAGAGAUAUAUGGUCAUAACUUGAAUAAAAAAUGGGCAACGCCCUUGGUUAUUACAGAAUGUCUUAAUAAUUGAGUAUUGAGGACCACUGCCGGAAAAUUUUCCACCUGCCGCUUCCUGCCUUCAGCUCCUCAAUUUUGCCUUCAACAAUGGUUACCUAACUAAUUAUUACAGCACCUAUAAGGCUAAAUCUUCCUGGCACCAAAUUUGAGUUUUAAAAUAAAAUCAAAAGCGCUAUAUAAUCUUCUAGAUUAAUCAAAUCAAAAUACAGAUAAUCAUAUUUUCACUGAAUGCAACUUAUAAUUAUAAAUUUACAUUUUUAUUUUUUUAAACAACCUCAAAAUUAAUUAAAUGAUAAAAGUUUUUAUCAUUAUUUUAUCAUGCUUUUGUUCAUUUAGCAUUGAUAAAAAGAUUGGUUGACGUUAUCGCAUCGGUGAUAACAUAAAACAACGUUGGAUGGCCAGACUUGGCCGUUGACGCCAAUUUACCGAAGACAAAAAGAGAUUUAAAAAAAAAUGAUAAGAAAAGAACAAGCGAAAAGUCGUAGAAAAUAAUAAUUGCAGUCUUAUAUAAGACAACUAGUGGGGUUCAAAGAAACCUACUCCACCCAUUUUUUCUUGCCUUCACAUUUGUCUUUUCUUGCAUUUAAUUCUGGAGUAAUGUAUUCCUACUGAUCGUUCGGUUUAAAAAAAAAAAAAACUGUACACAUUAUCUAAUUGUCAAAUGGUGAAGGUGAACUUGUCAUCAGCCGAGUAAUACACAAUUAUGAAUCGUAAAGAUAGAAUCGGAAGUGUGAUGGUUACAUUGUCUGGUAGAAAAAUGUGGCCAAGUGCAUAGGAAAAAGUCCACCGUAGUAAAAGUUUUGUUGUGAAAGAGAAAUUUUAAAAUAUUUUAGAUGUAUUAUAAUCAAUUGAUAUAAGUAUAAUAUGUAUAAUUAAAUUUAAUAUAAUUAUCACUUAUAUAAUAAUAAUUCAAAAUAAAUAUAUAAAUAUUAUAAUAUUAUUAUUUAUUAUAUAAAUAAUAUGAUACCUCAAACGUAUUUUAAAAUUUUUCGAUGUGAAGAACGUGCGGUCUAUGGAUUGUUGUAGACUUCGAGAGUUGCAGAAGUGUACUUGUGAAGCGAAGCCUGAUACUGAAAGAAGCCUGAUAGUGAAAGAGAAAAAAUAGGCGAGGCUACCUUACAGCUGUUGAAGGUGCAACCUUAUCACAUAAAUAAUAUAAAUGAGAUUCACGGUUAAGAAGCUGUAAGGUCAAAAAAAUACUUGAGCUGCUUUUUUAAUUCAGUUGGCUAUUUUUUCAUCGCUGCCCUCUACUUUCGUCUAAAUUCCCUUAACAUCUAAUAUACUCUUUUUAAGUCCCCCAAAUCUAACAAGCCCAUUAGCUUGUAACUUCCUCUGCUCCAAACAUUUAUGUAGGACACAGUUUGUACUCAAACUCAAAUAUCAUUGCAUUCACAAAGUAAGAUGGAUCCUGAUCUGUACAAGGCUGCAGCUAAGGGUGAAAUUGAUCCCUUCAACAACAUUGCAAAAGACCGUCUUGGAAGCAUAGUGACACACAACAAGAACACGGUCCUUCAUGUCAACAUCGCACCCCAGACCCACAAACACAAAUAAUACACAAUAGAGAAGGAGAAAUUGUAUUGAUGAAGCGUCACAACAGGAAUCAAGUCCAUCAUGUCCAUUGUACCAACAUCUUAUCCCAGACUCAAAAAUACGAUAAGAGGAGGAGAAAGUGUAUCAACCAAGUUCGUGAAACAGAUACUUGAAAUGUGUCCAUCGUUGCUGCUACAAGUCAAUGCCAAAGGUGACGCUCCACUUCAUGUUGCGGCCAAAUGCGGCUAUCCUUCUGUUGUGAAAGCUCUGAUUGAAUUCGCCAAAAGAGAGCCUAAAGAGCUAGAAAGCGGUGUGGAAAGCACAGUGUAGUGAUUUAACACCCCUUAAGACUCAAGAUGCUAAGCCACUGCCCAGGAGACUCAAGUUCUUGAUCAAACAAGUUGCAAAGGAAACCAAGCUUUGAUAACAAGACCCCAACUCUGAUUUCAAUAAGUCCUAGAUCUAAUGAUUAAUAUCACAGUGUAUAACCCAAUCAAGAAACAACUCACGUCACACAAGAAACAGAAUCUUACGUGGUUCAAUUGUGCAUUACAUGCACAAUCUACAUCCACGGGAAAAGCCACAUGAAAAGCUUUAUUGAUGAAUCAAGAAGACAAAUACAGAGCUUCUAAACAAGAGAUUACAAGCAACAAGAAUAAUCUCUCUCACUUUCAGAUCUCUCUCUUAAGCUCUCUCUGAACCACGUGCUUUCUCCCUCAGCAACCAGCUUUAUACUCCUGAUGCUGAAACCCAGAUUGCACAGAAUCUGGACACGUGUGUAACGACAUUUAACAACCUUGAUUCGCUUCUUCACGAGCUGGCUCACGUGCUUCACUUAAGUUUUUCCAAAACGACAGAGGCUGAGUCGUUUAGCUUUUGAACUUAAAAGCCUCGUGCUGCACGUGACAAAUGACUGAAAUCAUUUGAUCAAAACGAACCGUUUUGGGACUCUGAGUUUUCGAUUCAUUGCACUCAAGUCCACACACAGCAAGGCAGAUGCCAGGGAUGACCAAUGAUGAACAAAACACAGCAUCUCGAAGAAAACACUUCAACAUCAAUUAUAGCCAGUGUUAAAAAUCUUACCAUUGGUGUAAAAUUCCAGCUUGAACGCUUAAUUUACACAUUUCUUAUUCUAAUCUCUCCUAACACAAACAACACAACUCAAAACUUCAAUUCCUCGUCUAUGAAAGAAACUACAUACGAUCGCAUGAUGAUUUCUAAGUUUUAAACAUUCAAAAAUCAAAAUCUCUUUUAUUUCCCCUUUCUUUUUAAUGGGUUUAAAAAUUAGUAACACGCCAAUGUGGGCUUAUUAAGUUAUUGGAUCAACUAAUGAGAUAUAACUUAAAAACAGAAAAUGGGCAACGCCCUUGGGUUAUCACGUACAGAAGGUAGCAAAAUUCUUCUCUGCCACCUCCUUCCUACAGUGGCAUUUUCCUAAUCUUUUGAGUGUUGGCACAAUAAUAUAUCAGUGUAUAAAAUAAAAAAUUAAAAAAAAAAGUGUUGGCACAAUAAAGGAUGUUGAUGAUAAUUUAGGGGAAAACUAAAUAAAUAAAUAAAUAAAAGGACGGUUGAUUGAUGCUAUUGGUAAUAAAAUAAUGCUGGGUGGCUAGACUUCGCCGUUGACGCCAGUUGCGGGAAAAGACAAAAAGAUUGAAGAAGAAAGAACGAGCGAACCUGUAAUUCUUGAUAUCUAUAAUUAAUUAGUUGGCGUCGAGAUUCUUGGCACUGAGAGAAAAAUAAUUAUAAGACUGUCAAUGGGAUUCAAACAGUACUACUAUCCCACGCACUUUUUCUUGCCGUCACAUUUGUUUGUUUUUCCUUGGGACUUGACUGUUUCGUGAUUAAUUUUUCAAUAAGUUUUUUUAAUACUUAUCGUAUAAUGUAUAUUUAUGUUAAUGCAUGUGUUACUAUUCAUUAAUUAAGAUAUGCUUUAAAAGAUGAUAAAUAUUAUGGCUAUUAUCAUUUGACUACUUCAUUAAUUGUGAAAUAUUAAAUUAAUAUUAUAAUCUAUCAGUUCAUUAUUAUGUCUUUUAAGGAAAAAAAAAGUUUAUUUUACUAUUUUUUCACUAAUGAUCCUUAAUUGUUAGAACAUCUCUAAAAAGCUCUAUAAGUUUUACUCUUUAAAUAUUUAUUUACUUACCUAUGUGGCAAAUAAAAGAGUGAAAAAAUAUAUUAUUCUCCAAAGACUCUUCAAAUAAAAAUGAGUUAAUAUUAUUUUAAUUAAAUAACUAUUUUUUAAAAAGAAAAGUCAAUAGUAAUUAAAGCAUCUCUCUCUCUUUCUCUAACAAAAAAUAAUAAAAUAUAAAUUGAAGAGGGAGAAAUCAACUCUCCAAAUUUGAAUAGAGAUGAUCAUUUCUUAUUUGAAUAAUCUUAAUUGAAGUAUUUUUUAGAGCCUUAAAUACUGAUGUGAUUCUUCAAAUAAGUAAUAAAAUCUUAUUUAAAGAGUCUUUUGGUGAUGCUCUUACUAAUUCUAGCACGACGACUCGCGAAGCUAGUCUUAAUAGAGAUCAUAUCAAUGUUAAUGUCACGCUGAUAUUAAAGCAGUGAAAAUGAGCUGCGUACAAAAACAAGAUAAAAUAUUAACCCCCUUCUUGUUUGUUCAAAUAUAGCGAAAAACCCUAAAUAUUUCAAAAUCUAGCAAAAUCUCUUGUCUUCAGUAGUAUUAAUUAAUGUUUAAAAUUUAGAGUUAUCAUUUAAAAUGAGCCCAUGCCUUACUAUUUUUUACCUCCUCGACGUUGUCACGUGUACACCACCAAAUUGGGUGUUUAAAUUGUAUUAGUAGUUUUCAUUUAUUCAAUAAUUAACGAUAAAGUGGCCACUCCUCCCUUCUCGCUUAUAUGCUCCGUUAGUCUUUUGUCACCUAAUUCCCUUAAACUUGGAAUUGCUCUAAUCUUAACCCGAGGGAUGUGUCUGAGUCCAUUAUAUCCGCAUUUCUUUUGCAACAAAGCUGCUUAGCACAGUGCCUUAGGCCUCUUAGCUAAUAGCUAUUUACUAUUUAGACCAUUUGUAAAACUCUUCUUCCUGAACAGAUAGAAUGACCGACCUUGAAUUUUAUUAGAAACCUCAUUUUAUUAGAAACCUCAUUUUUUUUGUAAAUAUAUUUUUAUAAGUGUGAAGUAGCUCCAAUAAUGACUUAAUGUAAUGCGAGUAAACUGUAAUAUAUUUUUUUUUUAAAAAAAAGAAGGUUUGUAUUAUUUAGUUAUCAAAUAGUUAGGUUUCGGAGAAUUUUUUUUUCUUGGACAAAAGAAUUCUCAUUAAAUAAAAAAAAUAUAAAAAAUGAAAAACUAAGUGUUGUGAAAAAUCUUCCAUCAUUAUAAAACAACUACGGGAAUGAAUUGUAAAUUCAGCUAAAGCAGCUUCAAUACAAUUAGCUUAGGAGAAAAUUUUAAUCUCCAAAGAGUAUAUUAAUUACCAAAUAAACAGAAACACCAUUAAAAAUGUAAAUGAAUAAAAAAAGACAAAAUCUCUAAAUAUUUUAUGCUUUGUUAUAUAGUAGAGCAGGAACCUUACUAUGAGUCAUAAAUAAUUCUUACUUUAGAAUUUAUAAAUUUUAUAUUAAAAAAUAAUUUAUACACAAAUGACAGAAUAUAAGUCGUUGGUCCUUCAGCUGAGGUGAUAGGCCAGCUGAUAGAAGUUUUUCUCAUAAUGCAACUAAUAACUUUCCUCUUAGAUUAGAAUUCUUAGGUGGUGAUUGGUUGGGAGGAGAGAAUGUAGGAGAGAAAAGUAAUUUAAAUUUCUUUUUUAUUUUCAUUAUUUGGUUUGACAAAAUGUAUAAGAAUUUAAUUUUCAUUAGAAUUUAAUAUCCAUCACAAUGUAGAAUUUAAAUUCCACACUAAGUAAUGAAAAAUUUAAAUUUCUCUUAUAUUAGAAACUAAAAUUUUCAAAAUUAUCCUUCAUCUUUUUAACUUAUUUAAUGCCAUUAAUAAUUAUUAUUUAUGAUUUUAUUUUAUUAAUUUAAUAUUAUAAAUAGACCACCGUCAGAAAAUCGCUGGACCACCGUUGGAAAGUCGCCGGACCACCGCUGGACCACCGUCGGACCUCGCCGAAAUGUUGCCGGACCACCGUUGGACAUCGCCGGAAUGUUGCCGGACCUCUGCUGUCGGCCACCGGACCGCCAUUUUAUUUUUUAUAUAUAUUUUUUAUUACUAAUAUAAAUAGUUUAAUAUUUAAGAUAAAUAAUAAAUUUGUUAAAGAAAAAAAUUAUAAUUUAUUUUCUUAUCAAAUUUUAUAUCAAACCAAACAAUAAAAUUUAAUUUCACUACCAUUCUCCCUUCAUUUCUUCUCCCUUCCUCUCUAUUCCACUCUUUUUCUCUCUUCCCUUUUCUUCAAACCAAACAUGACCUAAAGAUAAAUUUAAAACUGAGGUAGUUACAUUAUGUGAUAGAAAAGGUGGCAGAGUAUAAAGGGAUAAGUCAUCUCGUGAAAAACGUGUGAUCUAUGUAUUGUCGUAGAAAACGAGUAGUAGCUGGCUGUGAAGCGCAAUCCGAUAGUGAAAGUCUGAAGAAAAGGAGCGUUGUUGAUUGACGUUAUCGGUAAUAAACUAAUCUUGGACGCUAGACUUGGGCGUUGACGCCAAUCGCAACAAAAAGAGAGAAAAGAUUGAAAACGAAGUGAAAGGCUGAAAUCUUUCCUGCCUGACUCGAUAUCUUCAAUGAGGGGUCGGUAUUUUCGUGUUUGGUUUAGUUCAAAUCAACCAUUAGAAAUUUAUCGAAUUGAAAGUUAGGGACUUUGCUAGCUUACAGAAUCUGUAAGCUACAGACUGCAGCAUCAUCUGUAAGCUACAGACUGCAGCAUCAGCGUUGGAUGUGGAGUGAGAAAUUAAACAAUAGAAAAUGAGAUGGUGGAAAAUGUUAGUUACUGAGGCUGCACUGUUGACGGGUCCGAAAGUUAGAAGUAGAUCGGGUUAAAAUUAAGUUUACAAAACUGAUUGGCCCAAACCCUUUGAUUUCCAUCUGAAUAGUAACAAGUUAAGUGAUGUCAAAAAUCUUCCAUCAUUACAAAACAGAUACAAAAAUAAAGUUCAAACUUAGAUAAAGCAUUUAUAAUAUGAGUAAAAUUAUGGUACAACUGUGUUACUAUAUUAUAAUUUAUCCAACCGUUAGAUCUAAUUAUAAUUAUUAUCAUAAAUUAGAUCUAACAGAUGGAAGCAACUAUAAUAUAAUACUACAGUUGCACCAUAAUCGGUCCCCUAUAAUUUUAUUAUAACUGGCUUAAGAGAAGAUCUUAAAUCUUGAUCAGCAUAAUAAUUAUUAAAUAAAACAAAGAAACACCCAAAAAAAAUAAAGAUAAAGAAUCUUUGAAUCCAUAAUUCAUUAAUUAUCAAGUAGUCAUGUGUGAGAUUGUCCACCACAGAUAUACUAAUGUGAUGAGACCGGCCAUCAAUGUUCUGAUAUCUGGCAGAUCAAUGAUUGUUGUGAAAAUUUUAAUAUACUCGCAAGCGCACGAAUCUAGAAAUAGAGUAGUGGUAACGAGGUCGAUCCCACAGGGAUUGAUAAAAAGUCUAAUUUAAAUCUAAAAUUAAUAUUACUCCUAACCUAGUUGAGCAAAUUGAGUUUUUAAGAAAAUUAAACCAAUUAAACUAAGGAAGCAAUUAAAAUAAAAGAGAAUUCAAUAAGAUAGAAAUUACCAAGGUUUCAGAAUCCACCACUAUUCAACUAGUAAUUAUCUAAUUAUUAAUUAAUCCCCAAUUUUAGAGUGACAACUCGAAAUCAAUCUAUGUCAUCUCAUAGAUAUAACAAUUAAGCCCAAGUAAUUAAAUCUAAUGUAGGUUCUUUUUCUGCUUAAUAAUAUGACAUCUAAGCCUCCCAUGUAAACAUAUUGAAUAACAAAGAGUCAAAGUUUUCCUAAGCACUCUAUGUAAACAAUUUAAUGAAAGACAUAAAAUCAAAGAUAAUCAUGUAUAAACUUUAUAGAUCCAAGCAUAGAAUUAAUCGAAUAUUAAUCCUAACAAUCAAUAAUGCAUGACAGAAUUGAUGAAAAGAUUUUAAUAACAUCCAAUUAAUCAUGUGAAAUAAAAACCAUAAUUAUCAAAGAACAUAUAUAGGGAAUUAAUUAAAUAAAAAGAGAUAAUUAUUUCAUUGAAUAGGGUUUCAUCCUUAACCUCAGUAUAAGAAAAUUAGCUAGACAUACUUGAAUUGGGAGCAACAAAAUAAAUAAAUUCAGCCAUGGGGAAGCCGAAAUAUUGCUGCUGAUUUUCUUCUCUGUCUUGAAUCCUUGCGUCUCCAGUUCCCUUCUUCCUCCCGUGGCCCUCUUGCCUUUAUAUAAUGUUACUGACUUGCUUAAUCCUUAUUGGAUUCUAAUUGCAUUAAUUCUUCUCCACCGACUUAUAAAGCCCACUCACCAAGGCCUUUUAAAAUUAUUUCCUUAUUAAACUUUGAAAGCAAAGCACACGUUUGACCACAAAAGCAAAAGGCCAAUUAAUGAUUUCUUCUUUUAAUGCCCAGCACAUGCAUUCCAAAUUGCCAAAUCUUUGCUUUCCAAAUGCAUGCCCACCGUUCAUCCUUUGAAGAGAUUGACUUCCAAUUUUGGUCUUCUUGACUUCCAUUAAUUCUUGGUUGCAUUUUUGUCUUCCAAUUUAAUCUUUAUUCCUUCUCAAUUUGAAGUGUUUUCAUGCCCUUUUUAUCAACAAUCUCCAAUUAAUUCCCUAUUCAAUAAAACAAUUCAAUUAAUUAAAAAUAAUAAAUAAAUAUAACUAGCAAUUAUAUUAUUAAGGGUAAAAUAUGUAUAUAAAUUAUGCUCAUCAAAUACCCCCAAACUUAGAUUUUGCUAGUCCUCGAGCAAAACUAAAAUUUAAAACAAAAACAAAAGUAACGAAACAAAAAGUAAAUCCUAACUAAACCACUUUCGCAGGUAAUCGCGAUUGCAUUUAGCGUAUGCAACAAGCCUUUAAACCCCUAGGCGGCCCUAGUGGACGAGUUAUAGUCUCGUGAGGGCUUCAGUGAUGAUACCCACAAACAUCAUUUUCCAAAGAAUUAAAAUAAAAAUAAAAUGAAAAGAACAAUAAGCUUUAAACAAAACAUGAAGAUAGCCUCAAAGAUUGCAUAAAUUAUAUAGCUCAAAGAAAAUUUCAAAGAUUGGCAAAGUUCUAACUUUAAUUCAAUAAUCAAUUCCAUCUCUCUUUCGAUUCUUGUAGUGUGUGUGUGAAAUCAAUUCAAUCAAAUCCAUUCCCAAAAUCCUCAACAUCAACAACCUUCGCCUCAAACAAAGAAAAGAGUAGGUCAAACUAAUCUUAUCAUCUUGAUCUCCAAUUUUUUUUUUCAGGCUUUUAUGUGCAUUUUCUUUUGAUUUUUUUUUUCAGCACAUGCACUUGAUUUGAUUUUUCUUUUUCUCUUUUUUUUUUCUUCUUUUUUUUUUUAUUAACCAUAGUCAGGAGCUUUCACUCUACCCCUUAAGGUAGCCUUCUUCUCAUGGUAGAUUAUCCUCUACAUACUUGUGGUACAUAGGCCCAAAUUACUCAAGGAUAGCUUCACUCUUAAGGGUUAUAGGUAGCUAUUUCUGACUUUGGCGCCCGUGUAUACUAUUUUGUAUUGUGGAGAUAAAAAUCAAGACAAACAGUCAUUUACUCUAUCUAAAAUUCUCAACUCAGGCUAUGUCAAUAUCAAAUUUCAAGUCAAAAUUACAAAAGAAUUGAUAUUAGUGCUCAGGGUUUAAAAAAUCUCAAUCAAGAGGAACUAACACAAGAAUCAAGUAUAAACUAAGACAAUAUUCAACCCUUUUUAAGAACCAUAUUCAUUGUCAAUCAAAUUCUUAUCAUUGGCUUUUCACAUAAAAACAAAAAAACAACAAAAUUUUUUUUUUUUUUUUUUUAACAAACAAAGCACACACUAUUCCCACCCCCAAACUUAUUCAGAACAUUGUCCUCAAUGUUUCACAAACAAAAGAUAUGCAUGCAAACAAAUGAAAAAAAAAAUAAUAAUAAUAAAAACAUAAAUAAUAAAAAGAAAGUUGGAGAGAACACACCUGAAUGGGCUGGGAAAGCUUAAAAGAAAAUACCAAAUGAAAAGAAAACAUUAGAAAAGAAAAAUACUAGAAAAGAAAAGAAAACCUACUAUUAAAAUAAAACAAGAGUGCAAAGAUGAACUUAAUUAAUCCUGAUAAACAGGAUCAUCUAAAAGUAUCUCCUCAACUUCUGGUGUUCUUAAUUCUAAAAAUGGUUUUAAUCUUUGACCAUUCACCUUAAAUAAAUCACCAUUUUUAGGAUUUUCAAUUUCAAUUGCUCCAUAAGGGAAGAUAGUACGAACUAUAAAAGGACCAGACCAUCGAGAAUGUAACUUACCUGGAAAGAGAUGCAAUCGGGAAUUAUAUAAAAGUACUUUCUGACCUGGUGUAAAGGCUUUUCUCAAAAUAUGUUUGUCAUGAAAGACUUUCAUUCGCUGUUUAUAAAUCUUGGCAUUCUCAUAUGCAUCAUUCCUGAUCUCUUCAAGUUCUGCUAGUUGUAAUCUUCUCUUGGACCCAGCUUGCUGCAUGUCAAAAUUGAAUUUCUUGAUCGCCCAAUAUGCACGAUGCUCCAACUCUACUGGCAGAUGACAUGCUUUUCCAUACACAAGUCGAUAAGGUGACAUCCCAAUUGGUGUUUUAAAAGCAGUCCUAUAUGCCCACAAUGCAUCAUCAAGUCUCAAAGACCAAUCCUUUCUAUCUGGCCUAACUGUUUUCUCUAGAAUCUGCUUGAUCUCUCUAUUAGAAAUCUCUACUUGGCCACUGGUUUGAGGAUGGUAUGGGGUGGCAACCUUAUGUGUAAUGGAAUAUUUGUCCAAAAGAGUUUUGAAAGGUUUAUUACAAAAAUGGGUACCACCAUCACUAAUGAUUGUUCUAGGAAAACCAAAACGAGACAGAAUAUUACUCUUCAAGAAUUUCACUACAACCCUAUGAUCAUUGGUUUUGCAUGGAAUAGCUUCAACCCACUUCGACACAUAGUCCACUGCAACCAAUAUAUAUUGAUAACCAAAAGAUGGAGGGAAAGGUCCCAUGAAAUCAAUACCCCAUACAUCGAAGAUCUCAACCACAAGAAUAGGAUUGAGUGGCAUCAUGUUCCUCUUUGAAAUGCUACCCAUACGUUGGCACCUAUCACACAAAGAACAGAAAAUAUAAGCGUCAUGAAAAAGAGUAGGCCAAUAAAAACCACACUGUAAAAUUUUUGUUGCUGUCUUUUUAGCACUAAAGUGGCCUCCACAAGCUUGUUCAUGACAAAAUGAGAUAACACUUUGAAUUUCAUUAUCGGGAACACAUCGCCUAAUAAUCUAAUCAGCACAAUAUUUAAAUAAAUAGGGAUCAUCCCAAAAGAAGUCUUUCACUCUAGAUAAGAACUUUGUUCUAUCUUGCUUAGUCCAGUGCUCUGGGAUUUGACCUGUAGCAAGGUAAUUAACUAUAUCAGCAAACCAUGGUACAACAUUUACACUCAUAAGUUGCUCAUCUGGGAAAGACUCAUUCAAAGGUAAAGAUUCUGGAAUAAAUUUAAGAUCAAGGCGAGAUAAAUGAUCCGCCACAACAUUUUCAGAACCUUUUUUAUCUCUAAAUUCAAUGUCAAAUUCUUGUAAAAGCAACACCCAACGAAUCAAUCUUGCCUUAGCAUCUUUCUUAGUAAACAAAUAUUUUAAAGCAGCAUGAUCAGUAAAAAUAAUCACUUUACAACCUAUAAGAUAAGAUCUGAAUUUAUCAAGUGCAAAUACCACAGCUAGCAUUUCUUUUUCUGUAGUUGAAUAGUUCAACUGUGCAUCAUUGAGUGUCAUACUAGCAUAAUAAAUCACAUAAGGCACACGAUCUAAUCUUUGUCCUAAAACUGCUCCUACAGCAUAAUCAGAUGCAUCACACAUAAUUUCAAAAGGCAAAUCCCAAUUAGGUGGCUGAAUGAUAGGUGAAGAAGUCAAUAAUUUCUUAAGCUUUGCAAAAGCAUCAAGACAAGAUUCAUCAAAGAUAAAAGGUGCAUCCUUAACAAGUAAAUUGCAUAAGGGUCUAGAAAUUUUACUAAAAUCUUUAAUGAAUCUUCUAUAAAAACCAGCAUGUCCAAGGAAAGAUCUUACUUCUUUUACGGAUUUGGGAUGUGGAAGAUUAGAAAUUAAAUCCACCUUAGCUUUGUCGACUUCUAUACCUUUGCUGGAAAUUAUAUGACCAAGAACAAUACCUUGUUUUACCAUGAAGUGACAUUUUUCCCAAUUUAGAACUAAGUUCUUUUCUUUACAUCUCUGCAAAACUAAUGUUAGAUGCUGCAAACAUUCAUUAAAAGAAUCUCCAUAAACAGAAAAAUCAUCCAUGAAUACUUCAAGAAAUCUCUCAACCAUAUCAGAAAAAAUGCUAAGCAUGCAUCUUUGAAAAGUAGCAGGUGCAUUGCAUAAACCAAAUGGCAUUCUCCUAUAUGCAAAAGUUCCAAAUGGACAAGUAAAAGUAGUUUUCUCCUGGUCCUCUGGAGCUAUAGGGAUCUGAUUAUAACCUGAAUAUCCAUCUAGAAAACAAUAAAAAUCAUGACCUGCAAGUCUAUCAAGCAUUUGAUCAAUAAAUGGAAGAGGAAAAUGAUCUUUUCUUGUGAAUGAAUUUAAUUUUCUAUAAUCAAUGCAAACACGCCAACCUGUAGUUACUCUAGUGGGAAUUAAUUCAUUAUUAGCAUUAGUAACUACUGUAACACCAGAUUUCUUAGGAACAACUUGCACAGGGCUAACCCAAGAGCUAUCUGAAAUAGGAUAAAUAAUUCCUGCAUCUAAUAAUUUGAUUACUUCAGCUCUUACCACUUCUUUCAUGUUAGGAUUUAGCCUACGUUGCAUUUCCCUAAUAGGUUUAGCAUUUUCUUCAAGAUGAAUACGAUGCAUGCAAUCUACUGGAUUAAUACCUUUAAUAUCAGCAAUGGUCCAUCCUAUUGCCUCCUUAUGCUCUUUUAGAAUACCUAACAACUUACCUUUUUGCUCAAGAUCGAGGGAAGAAGAAAUAAUAAUAGGUAGAGUGUCAGAUUCUCCCAAGAAUGCAUAUUCCAAAGUGUCGGGCAGUGCUUUGAGUUCCAAUUUUGGUGGUGCCUCCGCAGAUGGGCCAAUUUUCUUCUCAGAAUGAGGCAGUAAUUCUGACUUUGCCUUCCAUUUAGUUGUGUCCGUAAUUGGAGGUGCAUCAAGUAAAGCGCUGACUUCUGCAAUUGCACUGUCAUCAUUAAAAGAUAAAUCAGGAUGAGUUAGACAUGCCUCUAAUGGAUCAUCAGUAUGGUUAGAAAUGAAUGAAUCUUCUACUAAUUCCUCUAUCAUAUUUGCUUCAACAAAUUCAUCUUCUUCUUGUGGCUGCUUGGUAACAUUAAAAAUAUUCAAUUCCAUGGUCAUAUUACCAAAAGAUAGCUGCAUAUUUCCAUUCCUGCAAUUAAUAAGAGCAUCAGCUGUAGCUAAGAAAGGACGACCUAGAAUAACUGGGGUGUGUUUCUUAGGAUCAUGUACAUGCUGAGUAUCAAUAACAAUAAAAUCAACAGGAUAAUAAAAUUUAUCAAUCUGUAUCAACACAUCCUCUAUAAUACCGCGAGGUAUUUUCAUUGAUCUAUCAGCAAGUUGCAAAAUAAUAGGAGUUGAUUUUAACUCACCUAAUCCAAGUUGCAUGUAAACAGAAUAAGGCAAGAGAUUAACACUAGCACCCAAAUCCAAUAAUGCUUUAUCAAAACAUUGGUUUCCUAUAACACAUGAGAUAGUAGGAGAACCUGGAUCCUUAAAUUUUGGUGGCAUUUUACAUUGGAGUAAGUUGCUAGUUUGUUCAGUUAAAAAUGCCUUUUUAGUGACAUGUAAAUUUCUCUUUUUCGUGCAUAAAUCUUUUAAAAACUUUGCAUAUGAAGGAACUUGCUUAAUAGCAUCGAGUAAAGGGAUGUUUAUACUUACCUGUUUGAAUAUUUCCAUAAUCUCACCUGUUGAAGUCCCUUUCUUUACCUUUGUUAACCUUUGAGGAAAAGGAGCCUUGCGAAUGUAAGCUGGCGGGCCACUCUCUUCUGGAUCAUUUGUUGACGACUCUUGUGAUGGAACUGGAUCUGAAGAAGUAGGCUCAGAUAUCUUCCUUGUUGGAACCUCCACUUUGUUGUCAAAUAAUUUUCCUUUUCUCAAGGUCAUAACAGAUUUUGCUUCUUCAUGCAGAUGGCUUGAACUCGAUCCAACUUCAUGCACUCCUUUAGGAUUGGGAAUUGGUUGACUUGGGAAUUUUCCUUUUUCUCUCUCCGCUACAGUAGUUGCUAAUUGACCCAAUUGAUGUUCAAGCUUCAGAAUAGCUUGAGUAUUUGAUUGAAAAGCUUGUUGGGUUGACUGAAUGAAACUUUGAAGUGUAUCCUCUAAAGAAGGCUUUCUUUGUUGGGGUGCAACAAAUUGAGACAUAGGUUGUUGGGCAUGAGGAUAUACUUGGUUAGGAGGGACAAAUUGUUGAUUGGGCAUGUUAAAUUGUUGCCCUCCUUGGUUUGACAAAGGUUGAUUUUGUUUCCAAGAAAAAUUAGGGUGAUUCCUCCAAUUAGGAUUAUAUGUGGAUGAAUAUGGACUAUUGGAGGUUUUCUCAUAUGAUUGUAAGCCAUGUACCUGCUCAGAAUAAGCAUCUGGAUAGACUGGUAAUGAUGGACAAUUUUGUGCUGUAUGAGACAAGUUAGAACAAAUAGCACAAACCUCAUUAGCUACACUAGGAUGAUGAUUUAUAGAUUGGUUCAUAACUAAGGCAUCUACUUUCCUAGAAAGUGUAGCUAGAGUGGAUUUCAUAUCUAAAUCAUCCUUAACUUCAUAUAGCCCCUUUCUAGAAACUUGAGAUGAUUUUUCCCUUUGAUUUGAAAAAUCCCACUGUUGAGAAUUUUCAGAAAGUGAAUUAAAGAAAUCCCAUGCUGCCCCUUCAUGUAAGUUCAAAAAUCUCCCACCAUUCAUAGACUCUACCAUAUGACGAUUUGACAUGGUUAAGCCAUUAUAAAAGCAUUGUAUAAGUCUCCAUUUUUCAAAACCAUGGUGGGGACACUUGAGGAGUAAAUCAUUGAAUCUUUCCCAACACUCGUAAAAUUGCUCACUCUCUCUUUGAUAAAAAUCACUUAUCUCUCUCCUAAGGGCAUUUGUUUUAGACAUAGGGAAAAACUUGGUGAGAAACUUAUUACUCAAUUCAUCCCAUGUACUAAUAGACCCAGCAGGAAGUGAAUUCAACCAAGCUUUUGCUUUGUCUUUUAAUGAGAAAGGGAACAUACGAAGCCUAAUUGACUCAUCAUUAAAAUUUUGAAAACGAAAUGUAGAGCAUAUGUCAAGAAAUUCCUUAAUGUGCAAAUAUGGAUCCUCUCUCUCUAACCCAUGGAAGGAUGGCAAAAGUUGAAUGACAGAGGGCUUAAGUUCAAAGUGUGUUGCUGUAGUUUGUGGCAACACAAUACAAGAUGGUUGGUUGGCUGCAAGUGGUGAAAAAUAUUCUCUAAGGGUUUUCUCUGCUUGCGCUGGUGGGAGUAUUGGCAAUAGUCUAUUUGGGUCAUCCAUCACUUCUAAAGAACUAGUUUGACUACUAUCAAUUUUCGACUCUCUUUUAACCAAACGAUUUGUUGAAUCACGUUCCCAAACACUCAUAAACUAACUAGACAAGGAAAGAAAGAGAAAUAAAAUAAAAUAAACCAACAAAAAUGAGAAUAAACGAAAUUUAAAAAUAAAAGAAAUCAAACAACCAAACAAUGAAUUUAAAAUAAAAUAAAAUUAAAAUUAAAAUUAAAAGUUUUUUUUUUGUGUUUUUUUUUAAAAUAAAAAUUGAAUAAAUAAAAUAAAAGACAACCUAAAUUAUAACUAGUGGAAGAAUCAAAUUAACCUAGAUUAAACUGACUUUCUAGCACAAUCCCCGGCAACGGCGCCAAAAACUUGUUGUGAAAAUUUUAAUAUACUCGCAAGCGCACGAAUCUAGAAAUAGAGUAGUGGUAACGAGGUCGAUCCCACAGGGAUUGAUAAAAAGUCUAAUUUAAAUCUAAAAUUAAUAUUACUCCUAACCUAGUUGAGCAAAUUGAGUUUUUAAGAAAAUUAAACCAAUUAAACUAAGGAAGCAAUUAAAAUAAAAGAGAAUUCAAUAAGAUAGAAAUUACCAAGGUUUCAGAAUCCACCACUAUUCAACUAGUAAUUAUCUAAUUAUUAAUUAAUCCCCAAUUUUAGAGUGACAACUCGAAAUCAAUCUAUGUCAUCUCAUAGAUAUAACAAUUAAGCCCAAGUAAUUAAAUCUAAUGUAGGUUCUUUUUCUGCUUAAUAAUAUGACAUCUAAGCCUCCCAUGUAAACAUAUUGAAUAACAAAGAGUCAAAGUUUUCCUAAGCACUCUAUGUAAACAAUUUAAUGAAAGACAUAAAAUCAAAGAUAAUCAUGUAUAAACUUUAUAGAUCCAAGCAUAGAAUUAAUCGAAUAUUAAUCCUAACAAUCAAUAAUGCAUGACAGAAUUGAUGAAAAGAUUUUAAUAACAUCCAAUUAAUCAUGUGAAAUAAAAACCAUAAUUAUCAAAGAACAUAUAUAGGGAAUUAAUUAAAUAAAAAGAGAUAAUUAUUUCAUUGAAUAGGGUUUCAUCCUUAACCUCAGUAUAAGAAAAUUAGCUAGACAUACUUGAAUUGGGAGCAACAAAAUAAAUAAAUUCAGCCAUGGGGAAGCCGAAAUAUUGCUGCUGAUUUUCUUCUCUGUCUUGAAUCCUUGCGUCUCCAGUUCCCUUCUUCCUCCCGUGGCCCUCUUGCCUUUAUAUAAUGUUACUGACUUGCUUAAUCCUUAUUGGAUUCUAAUUGCAUUAAUUCUUCUCCACCGACUUAUAAAGCCCACUCACCAAGGCCUUUUAAAAUUAUUUCCUUAUUAAACUUUGAAAGCAAAGCACACGUUUGACCACAAAAGCAAAAGGCCAAUUAAUGAUUUCUUCUUUUAAUGCCCAGCACAUGCAUUCCAAAUUGCCAAAUCUUUGCUUUCCAAAUGCAUGCCCACCGUUCAUCCUUUGAAGAGAUUGACUUCCAAUUUUGGUCUUCUUGACUUCCAUUAAUUCUUGGUUGCAUUUUUGUCUUCCAAUUUAAUCUUUAUUCCUUCUCAAUUUGAAGUGUUUUCAUGCCCUUUUUAUCAACAAUCUCCAAUUAAUUCCCUAUUCAAUAAAACAAUUCAAUUAAUUAAAAAUAAUAAAUAAAUAUAACUAGCAAUUAUAUUAUUAAAGGUAAAAUAUGUAUAUAAAUUAUGCUCAUCAAUGAUCUAACUUUAUAAUCUACAAAUAAAGUUCUUUAAAGACAAACUCAAAAGAGAGGUCGUUACAUUAUGUGGUAGAAAAUGUGGCCAAGUGCAAAGUGCAUAGUGACAAACUUGUCCGGUCUAUGGAUUGUCGUGGGAUAGCCUAUAAAUGGGAGGCCAAGUCUAGCAUUGUCGCUGUAAAGCGAAGCCCGGCAGUGAAAGAAAACGUAUUCAAAAAGCUCCACUUGUUAUGUAAAAUCUCAGUUAGCAACUUUUUCAUUACUGCCCUCCAGCUUUAGCUAAAUUAGGUAAGAUUGUAGUAAUAAUUUCCACGUUAGCCAAUCGAGCCCAAUAAAUUCCCCUGCCUCAACACAGCAACACUGUACGCAGUAUGUAAAUAAAACAUCAUCGCAUUCACAACCAUGAAGCCUAAUUUGUACGAGGCUGCAUCUACGGGUAAAAUUGAACCCUUCGAGGAAACUGCAAAAGAUGAACUUGGGAGCAUAGUAACUUACAGAAAGAAUACAGUCCUGCACGUCAACAUUACAUCCCAGGCACAGAAUGGAGAAGCAGAAAGUGUAUCAACCGAGUUCGUGAAACGGAUACUUGAAAUGUGUCCAUCGUUACUGGUACAAGUUAAUGCCAAAGGUGAUGCUCCACUCCAUCUUGCGGCCAAGUAUGGGCAUGCUGCUGUUCUGGACUUUCUGAUUGAAUUCGCGAAAAAACAGCCAAAAGAGCUAGAAAGCGAUGUCGAAACCGUACGGCACAUGCUAGGAAUGACAAAUGACGAUAAAAACACAGCGUUGCACGAGGCAGUGCAACAUCAACAUCAGCGUACUAGCUUGGAUGUUGUGAGAAUGUUAAUGAAAGCAGACCCUGAUGUUCCGUAUUCUCCAAAUGGUCGCUGCGAAACUCCACUUUACAUGGCAGCCGCGAGAGGAUCUAGGGUGAUCGUAGCUGAAAUAUUAAAAUCCUGCCCAUCAGCUGCCCAUGAAGGCCCCAAUGGAAGGACUGCCCUGCAUGCCGCAGUAAGAAGCUAUGCUGCCACUGAUAUUUCUGCUUCAAAUUUACAGCGUACUGCCCUUAAACCUAUUAAAAAUGUAUAGUUAAUUUCACAAAUUAACCAUAAUUCUGCAUAAAAAAUCUUGAAAAUUUUUUCCGAGGAAAUUAUAUAGUUGAGAUUGAGAUUUUGACCAAUGAUCAGGUGAUCGACUAUAUAUGUAUCCUCUGUAAGCUUACACAUCUGGUUGCUCAUUAAUUAACAAUUUUAGCGAGCAAUUCAAGGUUAAUUACCAUUAAUGUGCAUGCUUUAGAUAUAGAAUUCGUUAAUUAAUUAAUUAUUUUAUUUUAUUUAAGAUAUGACGAAACUGUUUCUUGACGAAAAGAAAGAUUUGGCUAGAGCAAGAGACCAUCAUGGUUGGACUGCACUCCACCAUGCUGCGUAUUUUGGUGCCGAAAGCAUCCCAAAACUGUUAUUAGAAUCCAAUACAUCUGUUGCGUAUAUUGCGGACAAUGAUCGGAAGAUGACAGCUCUUCAUUUAGCCGCCGGCCGAGGGAAAUUCCAGGCAGUGGAAGAAAUUAUUUCCUGUUGUCCAGAUUGUUGUGAACUGGUAGAUGACAACGGGUGGAAUGUUCUUCACUUUGCUAUGGUUAGUUUUUAUGCUAGACAAUUGGCGCGUCUGCUGGACAAAUUUCCGAUAGUCAGAAGUCUUAUAAAUGACAAGGACGUGAAGGGGAACACUCCUCUUCACGUGCUUGCUGCUGUCUGUCCAGACUCAGCCAGUAUCUCUUACGUUUCCGUAAUCUGCCUGGUAAAAGUUAUUAUGAGGCUAUCAACAAGCAGAAUAUUAGUGUUCAACACAUAGCAAAUUACGGAUAUCCUGAGCUAGAGGUAAUUCCCUCUUUAGUUAUCAUCAAUGUUCUCGAAAGAGAAUAUAUAUAUAUAUAUAUAUAUAUAUAUAUAUAAGGCAAAUCAAUUAUCCAUGUCAUCUAAUCUUUCACCUUUUAUUAUUCUCUAAUUUAAAGGCUCAAAAUUCAUGUAACAUUGCGUCUAAAAAGUUAGCAUGCUGAUCCUGCCCUUAGCCAAGCACUUCUUACAGCUCGCACUUCCGUGGCGUAUGGAGCUUGCCAUUUGGGCAGAAUAAGUGGGUCCAAUGGGAUCCAUCAACUUUAAAUUAUCAAAUUUUUCGAAAUAAAUUGGUGAUCUAGUCCGAUCCUAUAAUGGGACUAGCUUGACCUCUCCAAAUGACAGGUUGUGAUUAGUCGGUCUCAUCACUUUAACAAGUUUUUCUCAUUAAUUAAAAGCAUCUCUUACCAACUCUUGAUGCUAAAGCUUGUCUCUCUCUCUCUCUCGCUAUGUUUUCAUAUAUCCUCUUUAGUUAAAAUUAAUCGAUUUCUUAUUUUUUGUCUCAGCUUGUUUGUAUAACGGUGUGUGGUGGCCAAAACCGAAAUCAGUUUCUAGCCCUCUAUUUCUUUUAUGAUUUAAUCUCAAAUGGCAAGUGAAAAAGAAAAAACUAUUUGAAAACCACUCAAUUAAGGUGAAUAAUUAAAAUUAGAAGACUGUUUUUCAGGUUCCACAAACACUAUAGAGAAGGAGAAUGCUUCUCAACCAAGUUCAUGGAACGCAUACUUGAAACGCGUUCAUCAUUGCUGCUAUGACGAAGGUGAUGCUCCACUCCAUGUUGCGGCCAAAUGGGGGCAUGCCCGCGGUGUGGAAAGCACAGCAAGGCGAAUGCUAGGAAUGACAAAUGGUGAAAAAAAUUAAAAAAACGCAGCAUUGCACGAGGAAGUGCCAUGUCGUAACUCGUAAUGGCCUCAAUCUGUGAAAAAUUUAUUGAAAGCAGACACUGAUUUUCCGUAUUCUGCUAAUGGUAGAGGCGAAACUCCCCUUUACAUAGCUGCCGCGAGUGGAAAUGACAAUAUGGUAGCUGAAAUAUUAGAAAACUGCCCAUCGAGGCCCCAGUGGAAAGACUGCCCUUCAUGCAGCAACCACCACUUAAUCAGAUGCCGCUUAAUUAUAUAUCUUGUUAUCCACUUCAAAUAUAAAGAUGCCUAUAUGUACAAUAGCUAUGAAUUAAAUCUGUAUUUAAAUGCAUCUUGUUUAACGUCUGUAUGAAUAUUAAUUAAUGUUGUUACUUUUACAAUUCUAUCUUUCCGAAUUGACUGUGCUUCAUAUAAUUAUGUAUUUAGUUGGCUGUUUAUUAUUAUUAAUUUUUUAUUAGGCGUUACAAAAAAUUUACUUGAGAAAAAAAAGAAGAGUUUGACCAGAUAAAGAGACCAAGACGGUUGGAUCGUUGGCCCCCACUUCACUACGCUACGUAUUUUGGUCGGAGUAUCAUCGCAGAGUUGGUAAUAAAACUUGAUAAAUCUCUUGCGUUCAUUGUAGACAAGAGCUGACAGCUCUUCAUUUAGCAGCCGGUCAAGGGAGUUUUGCCCAUUUUGAUAUUAAAUUCGGCCAGCUUACAAAUUAUAAUAUUUAAAUUAUUUGGUAAAUAAUGAUUGAUGUAUUUUAAAAAUUAAAUUAAGUUAAUUAAUUAUUUAUAUAAUAAAAAAAUUAUAAUAUCUUUAUUUUUUUAAUUAAAAUUUUUAUUUAAAAAUCAUAUUUACUACCCACUACUAAUUUUUAUUUCAUAAUUAUAAUUUUUUACCAUAACAACAUAAACUUAAAAGUGUACAGCAUCCAAAUUGUCCAAUACCAACCAUGGCUUCCGCCGUAGUGGAUGAUAUUAUUUCCUAUUGUUAAGAUGUUGUGAAUUGAUUUAUGAAAGAGGAUGGAAUGUUCUUCACUAAUAGAGAAUUGAAAUAUGACAAAUAUAGGAUAGUUAGAAAUCUUAUAAGGCAAUUCCUAAGUUACGUUUAACGUAACAUACAAUCUGAAAAAUUUUAUCCGUUCAAAGUUCUAAAAUCUAAUCCAAUUGCUAGUGUUUAAUUUGUCCAAAAGCUGUAAAGGACGGAAACCGGCUGAAUUGGUGUGCCCAUUUGACAAUCUUCUCUUCCUCUCCAGUCUCCACUAACAUUUUCUUGCUCCUUUAUUGCCUUUUGCAGCAUCUUUUCCUGCUCUUUAACACAAAAAAAAUUUAAAUCCGACAAGAACUCAUCUUUCUUUACAAGCAAAUCAAGAUCAUCACCAAGAAUUAGACUUUUCUUGUUCUUUUUCUUCGAAGCACUCUUUGGAGAACAUAAAAAACAGCCCUUUCUCUGAGGUGGAGACAGCGGAGAAGAAGGUGAAUCCAUCCAUGAACUCGGAGAACUCAACGACGAAGAAAAUGAGUUAGAUUUCGACUUCAACUUUGAUUUCGAGGAAACAACGACAAUAGGAACAGAAGCAAAAACAAACCCACACCUGGAAUUUUCUUUAAAGUCGAUUUUUUAAUCUGGGUUCUAUUUGGACUCAAAGAAAAUGGCAAAGGAGGAGAGGAAUCACAACUAGAAACUGAUUUUGCAGUCUCCAAGCCGAGUUUCCCAUAUGGGUUUUAUUUGGAAUAAAAAAAACUCUUAACUUUAAAGUUGGAUUUGAAUAAUGAUGAUGAAGAGAUUGUGUGUGUUUUUCGGUGUGACGAUGAUGAUUAUCAUUGAUGUGAGUUUUGGGUUUGGCAGUAGCUGGAAAAGAUUUGAGCCUGCAAAAUUGGGAUUCUAACUUAAUGGGAAGGAUUGAGUCGUCGGAGAAACCAGAAAAGUUGACGGCAGAGACAACCACCUGUAGAAGGGUGUUGCCUGCGUUGACUUCUUUUGAUGACCGACUUCCAACCACUUAAAUCAGUAUUAUUUUAUUAUUGUUAUGUUUACCUGGCAUAUAAUUAUUGGUCAACUAGUCAUGUCAUCAGCUAUAUGUUACGUUUAACGUAACUUAGAGGGAUCCAUCUUAAAAAUGACAAGAACGGGAACACUCCUCUCCAUGUACUUGAUGCUCUCUGUCGACAAUCAUCCUGUAGCAAAAUAGUACUGCUGAACACAUAACACGUUAUUGAUUCACGACCGAGGUAAUUAAUUGCCUUUUUACUAUUAAUAUUUCAAAGACGACAAAUUUAUUCUUAUAUCAUCUCAUCAAGAACUCAUAGCAACAAACAUGAUUAAUAUAUUAUAGUAUAGCAAGAAAUCUGAGAAAGCUGAUGGCCGUAAAAAAUAUCCAAAAGGUGUCAUCAAAAUGAAGGAAGACAAAAUUUUAAAAGUUUUCGCAUUGCAAGUAUGUAGAUGAAUAUGUCGUUGGAACGAAACAAGCAAGAGAUCGUCACAUUUGGGUGUGGUAGCAUUGAUUGCAACAGUAACAGGGGCACUGCAAUUCUCACUUAAAAAUGAAACUUUUCAAGCAUUUGUUGUAUCAGACGCCAUAACCAAGGUCUUGUUACUUUCUGCCAUCUUUGUCCCUCUUCAUUAUGUCAGAUAGAGAUGGCCAAUGGGCUGGGCGGCACAUGGCACGGCACGUGUCCGUAUAGCACGGCGCAGCACAAGCACGUUUCAGUGGGGUAUGCGAUAUGACACGGCACGCACACAGGCUGAGCUGGGCUUAGAAUUUUAGCCUUGCGAGCCUUGAAAGCACAAUACGAUUAGAGAUGGGCUAAAACACAGCACGAGAAAGGGCAUAAGCAAGUUUAACUUUUUUGUGGAAGUGAAGUAAAAAUUUUAUGAUUUUACAAAUAAUUUGAAAUUGAAUCUUUUUAAUAUAUUUUAUUAGCACAAGUUUUAUAAAUAUAUAUUAAUAUUAUUAUGGACUAUGAUCUAUAACUUUAUAUAAGUCAAAGUUAACAAGUUAAUCCUUAAAAAAAAUUUAUUAUUGUUGUUGUUAAGUAUUGCAAAGGAAUUUUAAUACCGUAGGGUCUAACUUAAUAAUUAUUAUUACAUUCUCUUACUAUUAUUAAUUUAUUAUUAUUGAAUAUAGACUUAUACUUUGAAUUUUUAAUUCUAUUGAAUUUGACUAAAGACACAUAGAACAAAAAAAGUAUAUAGGCUUGAAAAAAGUAUGCCAACAACUUGGUAUGCCCUCUUAAAAAAAAAAAGUUUGUCAUGUUAUUUUUUUUAGGCACGACAUGGCGCACGGGACGCCACUUGUGGGUAAGCCACAAGUGGGCAUAACACAUGUGCUAGAUUGAGUCUGAGUAAAAAAAAUUGGGCACAACACAAAGCACAUAUUGGCACGGAACGACAUGAGUAUGAGCAUGCAUAGGCAUUCUUUUGAUGGCCAGCCUGACCCAUUGGCCAUCUCUACUAUCAGUUAAUUAGUUAUCUCCUUUCGUUUACCUUGGUUACCACAGUAGCAAUGGUGGUAGCAUUUGUUCCAGGCACGUCCGCAAUAUUGGCACCUGCUUUAGGACUCGCCACUGUCACUUGUAUCAUUGGCUUUGUCGUGACCUAACCCAAACCUGAUAAGAUAUUGUCCGCUUUGGGCAUUCACAAAGCUCGCACUGUUUUGUUCCUGGGGCACUCAAACACCCCAGGAACAAAACCGUGUGGGUCUUACUAAAACCCAAAGCGGACAAUAUCUUACCAUGUCUGGGUUGGGUCAUGACAGGUUUCGUCAGAAACCUUGUUUCUUUUAUCAAUCAACUUUAAAUGUUUUCGUUUCGUCAUAAUGAGUGUCAGCUAUUGCAAUGGCUAAAGUUUCUUCUUAAUCUAGUUACGUAUAGCUCAUAUAAGCUUCUUCUUUUGUGUUGCGCUAUUAGAGGAUUAAGUGCAAACACAACAUCUUUCUCAAUCUUUGGGUUCUUGUCAAGGGUAAUUUUUAGGGACCUCCUAUGAGGUUUAGUGUAUUGAUAGUUUGAUAGAAAGUAUUCACGUAAUUACAGGGACCUCUCCCGACGUUAGUGUUCCAUUACGUGGAUCGUUAGAUGACUAUUCAUAUUUCAAAAAUACCCUUACCUCAAAAAUACCCUUACCGCUAAAAUAUAUCUUUAUUAAUAUGAUAAACUGAUGGGUAAUAGAAUUCACACCAAAAUACCCAAUGGAUAAAAAAAAAAUUACAUUGCAUAGCUAAAAUAAAAUUGAUAUUGUGCUCCCAAUAUUACUAUUGUAAAUAUACGGUAAUAUGUUCAGCAGCAACACCUAUAAAUAGAUCCUUUUGUAGGCUUAAUAAAUCACCAUAGCACACUUUUUCUUCUUCUUCUUCUUCUUCUUCUUCUUCUUCUUCUUCUUCCUCAUCUUCUUCUUUUUAAAAAUUCUUAAAAUCUCUUGUGCUGUAAUUUUUCAAACUCAUGACCGAUUUAGUUCAACUCAUCAACACAAUCAUUAAAAAAAAUCAAGCUUAAACACUGCCUGAAAGCCCUAAAUUCUCAAAGCUCUAAUAUAUCAUGCACAUCAACCAUUGAUUGAAUUCAUAGGCUAUCUUUUUUAUUUUAUUCUCCAAUUUGAAGAAAAAUAAACUUGCCAUAUUUCUUUAGCAUAUGUCAUUUCCGUGUUUGUUCUUAUGAAACCUUGUUUUCUGAUUAGAGGACACAACAGAUUUGUCAACUGAAAAUAUAAAGCAUAAGCUUCGUUUACAGGCUAUGGAACAAGAAGCUCAAUUACAUGAUGCUAAGUUUAUUAUAUGCCUGGUUUUAUUAUUAUCGUUACAGUCACUUUCCCAUAGUUGGCAUGUCAAGUUAUCCAAAUUCUAGCAGCCCCCAUGAUAAAGCAAACUUUUUGUUUUGUUAAUUAGAACACCGAUUCCUAAAUAAAAAAAAAAAAACAAAACAAUAUCCAAGAGUUGGCUUGCACAAGUCAUGCCCACUAUAUGGCCUAUGCUCAUAAUUCAUAAAGUGGAGUCCCAUCCCUUCAAAAAAUCAAAAUCCAUAUAUAUAUAUAUAUAUAUAUAUAUAUAUAAUUAAAUACCACUAAGAUGGUGGGGGGUUAGGUUGUACCCCUACCUGUAGAAUAUAGGCUUGGCAAAAUCCGGGUCCGGUCCAGGUUUUGGUGUUGCCCAAGACCGGACCAGAUGAGUGAACCUCAAGACAAGACCCAGGUUUAAACCCGAUUUUUCUGGGUGCGGUCCGGGCUCAAGCCCGGCACCCUCGGGCCAAGUUUUUUUAUCCGGGCUUCUAAACCCCCAUGUGAUAACUUCAAUUUUUUUCUUCAAUUUUUUCUUUCAUUUCUCUAACAUUGCAAAUUUUAGAAAAGAAAAUAGUCAAAUAAACUCAUUCAAUCUCAAGCUUUAAGAAAGAAAAUAAUCAAAUACAAAUAUAUAACAUACUAACAAUGCAAAUUUUACACAAAUAAUAAAUAAAAAUUUUUCAAUCUACUUUCUAAUACCUAAAUUCAUCCAAUUUAUAACCUAAACUCAUUCAAUCUAUAUAAAAAAUAAAAUUAAAUUCAACAACACAAUAAUCACACAAUAAAUCUAAAUAACAUCCAACAUAUCAUAAAUUCAUAUUUAUAUAUUUAUAUAUAAUAUAUCAUAUAUUUAUAAUUUUUUUAAUUUAUUAAGAAACCGGGUCUGGGUUCCGGGUUUUUGGUGUUGAGCCUGGACCCGGGCCUGAAAACGUCCAGGUUUGAGAAUUUCAAACCCGGGUUUGGUUUUUUUGUGUAUGCACCCGGACCGGAUUGCGUAGGUCCGGGCCGGAUCCGGUCCGGACUGGCCUUUUUGACACCCCUAGUAGAAUAAAUCAGUUAAUGAAAGAAUAUAAGGAGGGGGACCUAAACAUCAAAAUCCAUAUAUAUAAAUAUAUAAUUAAUUGGCAGGAAUAGAAACUGUAACUCCAGCAGCCCAUUCUUCAUUAGCACCUUUGCUUCUACUCAUUCUUCCCUUGAAACAGAACAUAUAUGCAUAAACUAAAACUAACACACUACUCUUUGGGGAAGAUCCUCCUACAAAAUUGUCCGUCGCAUUGGUACAGGUGAUAUUCAUUCUGUCAACAAGCAAAAUAUACGUGUCCAACAUAUUGUACGUUACGGAUAUCCUGAGCUUCAAGUAAAAUUAUCGGCCUAUUUGGGAUUGAAGUUAAGCAGGCAGAAUUAAAAUGUUUAGUAAACACUAUCUGUUAUAACUUGAAAGUUAAGUUUGAUUUGUUUUAUAUAUACUUAUAUGAUGAAAAAUCAUUAUAUCUUUACAAAUUUUGUCAAAAUUAUUAUUUACAAAUUAUAUUUACUAUAUAAUUUAUCUUUUAUUUUAUAUAUAUAUAUAUAUAUAUUUCAGCAGCUAUAACUUAAAAGUUUUAAUGUCUCAAUCUCAAACGGAGUUUAUUAUUACAAUUUGCAAAGUACAAUUAUUAUUCAUUUUAUUACUACCACUUUCUUUUUAGUUAUUGUGAUAUAAUUUAGCAAAUUUGAACAAUAUAUUGCAGCGAGAAAUCCAAGAGUUGUCCAAAGAUAUUGGUCGUGGAUAAUAUCCAAAAAGUGUUGUCAAGAUGAGACAAGACAAAUCGUAUUCGUUUUGGAAAUUUCUGGAUGAAAAUGUCAUUGGAAUCAAAGAUGCAUCAGAAUCAUAGUUGGUAGUUGCAGCACUCAUAGCGACAGUGACCUUUACGGCAGCAUUCAUUGUACCGUGUUGUUACAAGAGUGAAGACAGCCCAAGCCAGGGCACUGCAAUUCUCACUAAAAAUGCAUCCUUUCGAGCAUUUGUUAUGACAAAUGCCAUGGCCAUGGUCCUCUCACUUUGAACUGUAUUUGUCCAUUUCAUUAUGUCACUUAAGGCAUUCCAACAAUUGGUCUUUUUAUUCAUUGUCGCCCUUUUGUUCACCUUGACUGCCAUGGUAGCAAUGGUGAUUGCAUUUGUUACAUGCACAUACGCAGUGUGGGGAACUUCUUUAGGGCUUGCCAUUCCCACUUGUAUCAUUGGCUUAAGCUUCUUCUUCUGGAUCAUUUUCAUGUAUUACGUGGUAUUAUAUCAGGAACGAAAUAUUAAUUAGUCAUGAAUGCACGGUUUCAAUAAAAGUACAUGUAUACCCCCUCUUCAAUGAACUAUAUAAUUAUACAGAAGAAAUAAAUCUCCAUGUUCAGGAAUUUGCAUUCUUCUUUGUCUUUAGUAACGCCAAUCAAUACCACAAUCCUGCAGAUUGAUCAGAUCGCAUCCUCAAAUAAUCUAACUACAAAAUUAUUAACCAAUUUGGAGGAACAAAUACUUUACUUGUGUCCAUCACUUCAUCACACUGUUUAACAGAGUAAAUGUGACAUUUUCUCAUAAAAUUUCUUGAUAUUUUUACAUAUAUACAAUUUCUUCAAUUUUCGGUCCUUCGAUGUUUGGUUCAAUAAUUUAAUUUAUUAAAACCGAUAUAAUUAGUUUUUCUCUUAAUUAAAAAGAAUCAAACCAUUAGUUCGAUUCAAUUUUUUUGGUUCUUAAUUUAUUUUGCAUCCCUAUUUGAUAUUGUACAUUAUAUUUUUAUUUUAUUAAGCAUAGGAAUCAUAGCAAUUUCUAUGUUUAAAUUAUAAUGAACGCUAUAGUGUGAGGAAAUCAGCUGCUGGUCAGCUGCUGGUCAUUGGGUUUAAGUGCAAGAUUUGAAGAAGUCUGGGGGCAUUGUGCAGAUCGACUUCAGCUGGAGGGGUCUAGUUGAAAUCUUAAAGCUGAUGUGGCAGAAUUCGUUAUGAAUUCUUUAUAGCUUUCCAGAAAUACCAGAAUAUAAACACACGUGUUUUAGCCUCUGAUAUCAUAUCAAUAUCUUCUUCAUUUAUUGGUCAUUUUGCUAGCCAUUUGGUUCUUUGUGAUCCUUGUAAUUCCUUCUUGGUGAUUAGCUUGUAUUUCGUUUUGUUGAGAUCAAUAAAAGAGCAUUUUUUUUUCCUUCAUCGAGUUGUGUAUUUGAAACUGUGCUCUAUUCAGUUUCUCUUGUUUUUUCUUUCUUGAUUAAUUUGUUUUGAUUUGUUCUUUAAAAGCUCAAUACGUUAAUUGAGUUAUAACAUAUAGCCAUGAUUAUUUAAUUUUUGGAUGGUUAAGGUAUAGCUUAUAAUUAAUUAAAACUCACUUUGAUGAACUCCUUGACAAACAAAAAGUAUGAUUGUUUACUGGAUGGUAGCAUAUUUAAAUUAAAUAUCUAAGCAACUGCAUAAUUAAUAAAAUUUUAUCAUUCAAUAGUUAAAUAAUACACCAUCUAAGAUCAUAUCCUGUAUCACUUAAGUAUUUUGAUUCUUUUUUUAUAAUGCAACAAUCAGAACUCAUAUAUAGCAUAUUCCCUGUUACUUAAUUUAUUGGGAUUAUAGUUGGCCAGCAAACCUUUGUGCAUACGCAUUGGUAACUUUAUUUUCUCCGACUAUUACACAAUACCGAAUUAGCGAUUCCAAGACGCAAUGAGGCCACACAAAGCGUAGUUAGGCUUGAAGCUAAUGGUGGGGAAACAAAGGACCCAUUUGUUACUAUGGUAAGAUAAUUGUGGUUUUAAAGUUACAACCUUAAAGUUUUGGAUAAACACUUAGAGCUGCAACUAAGCACUUAGAUAUGCAACAUAGAAGUUGAAGUAAUUUUAUCUAACAACGAUAGGUAAAAUACUUAUAAUAUCCCUGUAAUUUAUCAAAAAUAUAAUUAGACUUUCUAAUUUUUAAUUUUAAAUAAAUAUUUACAUUUCAUUAUAGCAAAAUAAAAAAUUAAAACCAGUUGUUACUGUCGCCAUCUAAAGUUGUCCAAAAUAUAAUAAAAAACCACCCAGAGAUUACACCGUUGGUACCUUUAGAAUCCUUUUCUCGUCAUCUAUCCAACGGUGCAUCCUUGCACCUCAACCUCAAUCCUAUGUAUGUCAUUAUAGGAUCCAGCUUGGGCACCGUACCCCCUCUUUUUUUGUCGUUAUUCUGUCUAGCCGUUAGAUUUUAAUUACUUCAAUCUAACGGUUGGGAUUUGUAAAUGAAUAAUGAAACGAUGUUUGGCGAUUUUUUGCUUUCUUCUCUGUAAUGCUUGACUAGUUCUGGAAAUAUCAACCGCCAUCGACGAAAAAUCUGAAGCAGUUAUCAUUUUUUAGUUGUGGGUAAACGUAACAGGAGCAAGGACGACGUGCGAGUUCGGAUUGGAGGUGUUCACCGUGAAAUUGUUUUUUAGUGUGCUAAUCUAACGACUUUCGAAUACAUUCAUUGAAAUAUUAAACGUCCUAGUAUAUAGAUUUAUGUUUUACAAAUUGUUGCAGGAUAGCGAAAACUGUAAUCUUCCAGAUGAUCAUUCCCAACACGGCAACACCUAUGGCUCUUUUCCUUUAAUUUGCCUCUUUAAAUUUUCUUUUGAUUAAUCAUUAAAAAACUGCUUUUUUUUUUAUCAUUUGUUGUUAACAUUUACAUGGUUAAUGUCAUCGAAAUCCGAUGGUUAUCAUUUAUGGAAAGAUAAUUGCCAGAAAUUUUGUUAAUCCCACUGCAAUAAGAUAUUGUGUAAAUUGUAUUGUUUUUUGUCAUAAGUACAAUAAAAUUUUGAUAAAUUAAUAGUUUUCGGACCGUGAAAAAGUCUAUUAAAUCUAACGAACAUCAGUUAAUUGAUAAAUUAAUAAAUUAUUAAUUUAUGAAAAUAUUCAUUAUUUUGAAAAAAAAAUAUGAUCAUGUUUAUAGUACUGAUUUACCUUGAGUUGGUAUCUAUUAUUAAAGUCAGCAAAAAUGGUCACCGAGUAGUAUUCGUAUUGUGUCAACUUCGUGUCGUGUCAAAUUUAGAUCGACCCAAACACAACCCAUUCAAUAAUCGUAUCAAAAUAUUAAGACACAAACUCGACAUGAAAAAUAAAUAUGUUACUCAAUAAUCCUUUUAAUAUCUAUAUAUUUAAUAAAUGUUUUAUAUAUGUAAAAACUAAAAUAUUACAUAUUUACACUAUUAAAGUUUUAAUUAUAUAUAAAUAAUAUUAUAUAUCAAUAUAAUAAAAUAUAUGUAUCUAUCAAUAUUUUAAACACUUAUACUAUAAAAGUUCUAAAUCUAUAUAAAAUUAUAUAAAUAAAACACUGUGUAUAUGUUCAUCUUUCCCCAAAAAACGAUAAUAAGAGAAAAUCAUGUUUAACAUUUGAGUUUUAAUGGCAAGAAUUUACAAAUUAAUUUAAAAUGGAAAAUAUAAUUAUGUUAUUUGUUGGAUAAAUGGGUCAAAAACUUUAACUAGGAAUGACAAAAAAGCCUGGGCCGACCCUGUCAAUUCUUACAGGCUUUGACCCGGGCUUCCCGCAUGAGGGUCUGGACAAGAGCUUAAGAAAAAAAUUUUGGGCCAAGCCUAAGCUCUUUAUUUCUUUUAAAAAAUAAAUUUAUAAAUUAGAAUAAUAAAUUGAAAUUUGAAAAAUAAUGGAAAAAAAAGAUUGAGUCCCUAAUUUAUAUAUCAAUAAUGAAUCAAAAUACUUAAAAUUAUAAUACUAAAUUCUCUUUUAAGUAUUAAUUAAUUAAGAGAGUCCGUGAAUUAGAGAAUCCAGUACAAAAAAAAAAAAAACAAAUCUCUAAACUUUUAUUUGCUUCAUUUUCUUUUUUUAUUAUUUUUCUUUUAUUCAUUGUUAAUUAUAAAACUUGAUUAUUAUUAACUCAUUUCAAGUUUACAGCAAUUUGAAAAAAAAAAAAAGUAAAAGUCCAAGUUCAGUCCAAGUCCAACCCUUACACUUUUAUUCUAUUGGGCUUGGGCCUAGGCUCCAACCCCUUAAAUUGUCAUCCCUAACUUUAACCCUAACCAAACAUUAAAAAAAAAAAAAAAAAAAAAAAAAAAAAAAAAAAAAAAAA